rnacentral:lncRNA from 1 species
UCCGGUCCACUGGGUGCGUGAUUUUGUCACGCGAUCGACGCCGUUUCUUCGGCCUGAAACUCGGAAUGCUGAAUUUACUUUGCUUUGACGCCGUUGCCUGCCUAGAGGCCUAAGGUUUUGGCAAUGCCUAGAAUAAAGGCGCACAAGAACAGACUUAGGAUCAAAUCGACCCAGUUGUGUUGCCAUGGAAAAAGAUUUUGAUCCAUCAUUAGCCAUUUGUCUGAAUAAUUCUGAACUUGCUAUGUUUCUGAAUGGCUUCUCCAACUGUAACUGAUCAUGGUUUUAAAUUCUUGAUGAUGACAUCGCACGGCCGUAGCGGUGGCCCAUGGCACGGUGCCAGCCAUUGCAAGAGGACCGGCAAUGGCUGGGGCAGAGAUCCAGUGACCACGGCGUAACAUGGCCGGGCACUGCGCAUUGUCACCGUAGCGCCGGGUACUGUUCAUGAACUGUCGUGGGUACCGUUACCGUUCCUGUCGAAUCUGUCCGUUGAUUUUAGAUCGGACGAGGGGGGCAUGUCACCAUUACUGUCCCUAAAGCCUAAGGCAGUAGGUCUAAAGACAUGAGCACAUGAGACUGGCAGGUACGGCCAGUCAAGACUGCAGGCAUCAGGUGAAAAAUGAACUGCAUUUCCGAAAAAAAAGAACAUACACAUAAUUAAGCAUCUUGGUAUCAUCUUUUCACGGACUUCUAUAUAUUCCAUAAUUAUACACCAACCAUUUAUUUGGACUCUGAUAGCGUACAAUAAUACUGCAAGUACAUUUCCUUUCUCUGUCUACCAUUUUUCUGCCUUGAGAAGGUAUGCACGUACCAGUAUGUAUGGAUUUUCAGUUGCAGAUAGUGUGACUUGCACUGCUGCGCUUCUGACCUGGAUCGGCAGCUAGGCAUCGCCAUGUCCCUCCGGUGCUCUGCUGCCCAGGACACGGCAGCGGUACUCUCCGAGCGCCCAGAUAGGGAAGAUGUUCCUGUACUGGGAGUAGGUGAUGGCGCAGUUUCUGGCGAAGAUGCCGAUGAUCUCCUGUGGCACAAAAUUCCAGCAGUGAUGAACAAACAAACGCAGACAGAACAGCAACUAAAUGCCGGAUUGCCCGUUAAUCGGUGUCUGGAAUCUAAGCAGCAAGCGGUUUUGACAGUGAUUUUCAUGAGAGUGCCCUUGGAAGAAAGUGUUGCUGCUCGGUUCGCGGAAUACUUACUUGCUGAGGGAACUCGCCAUCCCCUAGCUGUAGGUUGAUCAAGACCUUCGCUGCCCGGUGCAGAGGCCCUGGGUCUCUCUCGGCCUGCUCCAACGGGAAUUGAAACGCAGAUACGAAUGAGCACGGCGAAUACCUCAAUGAACAAUGUUAAAUCAAGGAGAAAAAAGGGUAAAACAAAACACAAAGAACCUGCCCAGCAUCAAUUAGGGCCAGCAUGGCCCAACUGGUGUUGACUACAUGGGGGCGCCUUCCUUCAAGUUCGGUGUAAACCUAUUUGCAGAAAUUAAAAAAAAAUAUCCAGAUCAGAGAAGUUCUCUUUUGCAGAAAAAAUCAAAACAAUACAUGUUGGUUCACUACUGGUUUGAUUGAUCUAUGGAAGCAUAACUUUUUUUUUGCUGCACUGUAUGUAAUAUAUGUGCCAUGUUAAAAUGGAGGAAUUGGCAAACCCUUUGGACGAGCAGCACGAUGCUUUUGAAUGCAUAAAAUCAAAUUAUAAUUGUAUGGGAAUGAAUGAUUAAUUUUAUCUCAAGUUAGUGUUCUUCGUGUAAAUUCUUAUACACCAAGACCCGCAUAUGAUAUUUUCCUUUUGGAAAAUAGAUGCAUCAUGUAUAGAGAUACUAUUGCUUGUAAAUAGAUCUCGACAUCACAGCUAAGUCUGAGCUAACAGUAAAUCAGGGGUUCAUACUUCUGAUCAAUCGUGGACUGAUCUGUUUCCGGUUGCACCGCUGCAUACGGAUAUCCAUCAACAGGCAUUACCUAGGAGCUAGGAAGAAAUGAAUGUACCUUAUCCCUGCAUGACAAAUAGCUUUCUCCCCAGCCACCAGAAGGAACCUCUUUCGACAACAAGAAGUCGCAGGCCUUCCUGAUAGCAGGACAGUUCUUGAAUGUCCUUCCAGCAGCAACUAACCCUCUCACUGCAGACCACGUCCCAUGGGUGAAACAAAUACCCCAGGAGCCGUACCUGUUGCGAAUAGAGAGAGCAAUGAACACCAAUAGCAGCAGUUUCUUCUGUUUUUCAGUGGGGACACCAAAAGCACGGAAAGCUGCGUGUGUAUCGGACAUAUUCUUUUAUUCCGAAAUGGAGUUUUUGAACACUAACCAUGAGCCGUCACUCCUUUGAAUACUCAGGAUGAAGUUAUCGCCUUUAUGGAUGCAUUUGUCAAUCUCCUCCCUUCGAUGCUCAGGGUAGUGCUUUCUGAAUGCAGCCAGGGCCUGGAUCACUGCCGAAGUACAUUCAACAACACUGCCAGUCGAGUUUAAUUACAUUUCAGUUCAGUUUCUCUUAAAAAUAACAAAUCAGCAUAGGGUUGUCACAUCUUACGGAUGAUCAAUCAUUAUGUCCUCAAAGAUCUCAGAAGGAUUGAGAAACUGAACAAUUGGAGAAACAUGUCAAGUUGUAAAAACUAUUUACAAAAGCUAAAUAUGUCGAGUCCCUCAUUACAGUUGUAACUCAAAGAAAUUCACCACUCACCUCCAGCCAAGCAUAAGAUCUGGUGAGUUCAUAUGAUGCAAAGCCACCAUUUCCAUUCUGUAAAAAACAAUCUAGCUGACAUUAAUUAGUUCGAGAAAAUUUAACCUAACACAUAUGCAAAAAAAAAUCAUAGAAUUUAUAAGAGCAUAAGAGAACUAUUGACUCCUAUGAGUAGCUUUUAGACGUUUGAAAAGGGAUAUGCAUACCAUCCAAGAAAGCAGACAAUUGACAGCAUCAUAAAGUCUAUUGGCUUCUAUUGAUACCCCAACCAUUUUCGGAGAAAUCUUUGACAACAACAAUGAGGCCUGAUGAAGAAAGAAGGAAUUGCAACAAUUGGACAGUUCAACAACAAUUCAAACGAAGACCACAACACCACAAAAGAAUAUACUGCAACUUGAGAGUUAUUAUGGUUAUUAUAUGCAUUAAAGAAAGUCCCUAUUUCCAAGGACCUGGAAGAAAAAAUGCUAAAACUUAAAAAAAGCAUAUCCUUCUAGGUAAGAAAAACCAUUCAACUGUUAACUACAUUCCAAAAUAAAUGUCAUUUUGGACAGCGACAAUGUCUCCGACACACGCCUUUGACCGUAUCUUUUUUAGUCAUGUUAGUAAAUAAUGGAUGAGAACAUAACAUUCUGGAAUUACUCUGUUAAUAUUAUUUUCAAGUGAAAAAAAAUCAAAUACAUAUGAAAGUUAGUGGUCAAAGUUCUAAAAUUUUGUCUGCAUAGGCUAAUGGGCGAUAUCAAUUUUGGAAUGGUGGCGAUACCUUUAAUCCUACUGCAGUGCAAUCUGAUACAGGCCACGCAUGAUCGGUGGUAGAAAAGGUCCAUGCACCUUUAGAUAUAUGACGAUACCAGUCACUCAAAUCUCCAUGGCAGUCAUGAAGAACCUUUCGCAGAACAAAUAACAGAAACGGAGUCAAACGAUGACCUAGUCUGGCCAGGAAAUUAAGCAUAAAAAGUUUUACCUGUGAAUUUUUUAUGUAGUCAUGGGCUAGUUUAAGAGUAGGACAGAACUCUUCUGUGAGUUCCGUAGCCAGUAUAGCUUCAACUGUGAAAGCUGUGUCCCAAAGUUGGCUCCCAUUAUAACCCUACGGUGACAGGACCAUUUCACUGGUAUUAGCAUAGCAAGCCAAAAGAAAAGAUUCACUAUAUCUUAGUAUCUCUCCAGAUUCCAGAGUCGUGUUACAUAUAUUUGAAGACGUUGUGCCUGGACCAAAUUAUUAAAUGACAAAAAUAGACACCGUGCUAACUGAAAAUGUAAAGGAACUCUGCAGUGCUAUUUAACUAAGUUAAGCGCACAUGUGAAGCUAUGGGGUCAAUAACAACAUAAAGAAUAACCUGCAUCUUCAUGCCAUCUUCAGCAACCCACAAGUAAUCAUAGAUCCUUGGAAUAUGAAGUUUGAAUUCCUCUGAGUUAGGAUCUUCUAUCCAGCAACAAAGCAUGUUCAGUACCUGCACAUAUUUUUUUCAUUUUUCACAAUAAUCAACUGAAAACCGGAAUGCCAAAAGAAAAAAGGAACAAAAAUAAAUAACCACAUGCUUUUUUUAGAAACCGGCAUGAUUUUAAAUAUAUACCUUCCCUACAGCACCACUGCAAACAUAUUGGGUGUUCUCAUCUUCGUAAUGAAUAUGUUGCAUGGCAUUUUUCAAAGCUUUCUCCCUCAAUUUGCUUCCAGGCCAAUGUGACAGAACUGGUUCAACAAAUUUGUGAAGAGUGGUCCAUAAGAUAUCUUGUCCCAGUGGAUGAGGACAGUACAGAUCCUCCUACAGUAAGUUAUAAUAAAAAUCUGUCAAGCAACAUUUUAUAAUUAUAUUCUGCAUGGGGAUCUCUACCUAAAGUAACAAAUAAAAAUGUGUGAUACUGACACAGGAGCCAUGUCAGUGUACAAAUCAAAAACCGUGCAGAGCAGAAACUUCUAAAUGGCAUAAUAACAUGAAGUUACUUUGUGUUGUUACUGGUUUGGCACAUGCACGAUGAAGCAAAUUCCAACAAACCUUAGCACAUUGGUUGCGAGCCUUGUCCCAAUCUAUCUCAUCAUAGGGUACUUUAUAGAGCUCCUUCCGUAAGUUCACUACAGUUGGUGUAAUUGGGCCGACAAACCUCUUUCCAUAUAUAUAAGACAUGGGAAAGUAUACCAUUCGGCAAUGGGACCACAUGCGCCCUGUGUGCGGCACAGAAUAUUUUAGCAAAGAUAAUAAGGUAAGAAAUCAUGAUAAUGUAUACUCCCUCCGUCCCAAAAUAAAUGUCUUUAAUUUAGUACAACUUUAGAUUAUGAUAAUAUAUACUCCCUCCGUCCCAAAAUAAGUGUCUUUGAUUUAGUACAACUUUAUUUUGGGACGGAGGGAGUACUAAUAAAUGUGAAUACAUCAAACAGAGAAGGGUAUAAUAAAAUUAUUGCCUCCUGACAAAGUUUGUGAUGAUAGAAAAUGAUUUUUGUUCUGCUGCAAAAAGGAAAAAUGGUCUUGUUGCCAAUCUGUCAAAUAAACUUUCCCAGGGUCAGCUGCAUGAGAACCAUACUUGCAGUAUAUUCUACUGAUCAUCUGCACUAACAGUCAAACAAGCAUUCCAUGGAGUUUAUAUGAUAAAUUUUGCUAGUGUUGAGUUAUUAGUCAUUAUGAUAAAAUUUCUAGAUAACUAAAUACAAGCCAAAAGAGAAAGCGAAAAGGUAUUUUAAGGGGAAACAAACCUGGAUGAAAUGGGAGGCAGUAUGGUAGUAACCAUAGUUCUGGAAGCAAUGGAUUGUUACCAGACCAGUCAAAUACACCAAGAACCUUAAGAAAGUAGAGAUAUCAGAAGACCUCUCUGGGUUUGAAACAAGUACACUUGUAACAAGACCAAAGCAGAUAACAGAAAAGAAAACAAUGUAUAACCUCCGUACCGAAAGCCAAAACUUUCCCCAUGAUGUUGUAAAGGUUGCUCCUCCAUGAUCCAAAAUCCAAUUCUGAGCUAACUGAAUGGCUCCAUCUUCACUAUCUGAUCCUUCUCCAAGUAAUCUCAAGGUAACAUAGUUCAAGACAGAACCGAACAUGGUGCUUGGGCCCUCAAUGUGCAAUCCCCAGCCUCCAUCUUUGUUCUGCACUUAAAUUCACGGAAAUUUGUCCCUUUCUUUGAAAAGCAUAAACAAAACUAGUAUUGGCAUAUACAUUAGGGUAGUAGUGAGAUGUAAUGUGGACAGAAGGAAUGGCAUGAUACACACAGCAUGUGGAUUGCAAAGCCAGAUUUUGUUUGCGUAAAAAUAUCAUUGUUAAGAACGUUUUGUUUAGAUGAAUAUUUCCUUGCCUGAUGAUUGUAGAGAUACCGGCGUAUCUCCUUUUGAUGCUCUGACGAUAAGACAGUAUUUAGAGCACCAGUUGAAUGCAGUGCUAUUACCUGAAUAAAAAAAAAGGUGAGGAAACCAAAUGGCUCACUUCUCUCAUACAGAAGUACAAAAAAACAAAGGAUAACACAGAAUGAGAUAGCACAAUAUCUGCAAUGCUGAAACCAAAUGAGAAAAGUUUACUGAAGAGUCAAGACCAAAAGGAAGUCACUGAAGGCAGGAACUGCAAAAUAAGCAGCAGCAAGCCGAGCAAGAAGGCUUAGGCACUAGUUUUCUACGAAUUCUGAAGAAGGAUACUAGCAGAGGAUACUGUCUUCGAAGAGCCCUUUGGCACAGUUCUAUAUUUUCUAAGAGUUCGGGAACAACUUGUUCUGAAGUUAGCUGAUACAUACGAUGAGAUAUGCUAGUGCAAGAACACAUGAGAAGGCUAUAAUGAAGGAAUCUUAACAAAUUCACUGUUGUAUAUGAGCGAAAGGAACUACCAAGCCCGGCAGAAGGAACAUAGGGCCGGCAAUAUCCCCAGGCCAGUGUCCAUCAUGUGCUUGGAGAGUAGACAACUGUCCAAUUGCCCUCUUUAAAGAGGUCAAAACAGCUUCUUCGGUGACAUCUUCAUGCUCUUGGAGCUUGAUACCAGGAACGUCCAGCUUGGGAGCACCCAACUCGGCGAACUGCAAAAAGUGCAAGUGUUUUGCAAUGACAUGUGAGUUAUUUAAAGAAAAAAUCAAACCCAUGAAAACCGAGAACAAGAAACUAACAUGCAAAUGACACAAUAUUUACAUACAUGCUAGGAGAGGGCAUAUCUGGUGAAAAUGGCCUUCGGCGAGAAAUGCAUGUAGAAAUUCGCAUAAAAUCUCGAGUAAUCUCAGUAGGAAUGUCGUGUUCAACAUAUCAUAUUUUCCUUUUCUUCAUAUAUGGCAAAACACAUCGAAAUGCAACCCUAAUUUUCUGCAUGCCCUUCAAUGGUACUAAAAAAUAGGGAGUACCUAGAACUCAUCUAGAUGAGAUAUAAUUUGGUCUAUGAGUUCUAGCAAAACUGUAAAAAAUAUUGGAUUAAAAACACCUUUUCAUCCUAUUUUGACGGAAUUAGCGAGCCUAACAUCGUUUCACUUGCAUUUCCUAGUUUAUUCCAACUCUGCUGAGACGGCAAAUUGGCAUUCCAGCGGAUAAUAAGUAAACAAGCUGAGACGGCAAAUUGCAAGGAGGGUUAGUAGGUGGUUACGCGCUGGUGAGAGAGGGCCCCGAAUCCGUGGAGGGGACCGUCCGCGGCGAGCACGUAGAGCCUCCUCCGGGGUUCGUCAUCUCGCCGCCGCCGUGGGAGUGCAGAGCCGCGGCGGCUCCGGCCGGAGGUGGCAGCGGCAGCGGAACGGAGGUACAGAACUGGGCCCUGGGCUCCCCUCUACUCUGAAUCUCUGAUUCUACACGAAAACGCAUCAUCCAUGGCCCAGUCGGGCGUCUUGGUUUUCCAGCGUUUUUUUAAGAGGAACUACCACAUGUUCAUUCAACAAAGAACUGUACACAUUUUUUUGCGGGGGAAAGAACUGUACACAUUCACCCUAAAAAAAGAAAAUAACUGUACACAUUCCUAAAAAAGACUGUACACACAUGGUUGCUCCAUGAGACAAACAAAGGGACAGCUGUCCUUAAAAAAAGACAGUUGUCCUAAAGCUUUGCACAAAGGACCCCAUAAAAAAGAUUUGUAAUUUGACCCAUCAAGAUCCAUGUGCAAAUCUAGUCCCUUAAGCAUUGUCGGACUUCAUCGUCGCCGUGGCAACACCGGAGAUGGACGAUAGCAGCCAUCACUCGCGAAUCUAAAAGAACUCCAAUGCAGACCAUGCUGCUAGGUGAAUUGAUUGAACGGUCUGCCGCAUGCAACAUAGCUGAGGCUAUGUGGCUCGUUGACCGGGGAUCAUCCUCGAGCCCGUCAGACCCCGACAUCAUCGCCUUCAUCCACUUAGGUCAUUUUUUGUUUCUUUGGGUUUUCGGUUUAUUCAAUCAUUUCAAGGUUUCAGUCAGUUUUUAUUUAGUUUUUCUAUUUCAAAAAACAAUAGAAAUAAAAAAAACGUUCAUGUCAUUUAAAAGGUGUUUAUAUUUUUAAUAGGAAUGUAAUUUUAGAAACAAUUCAACCCUUUUUUAAAUAUUCAUGCUAUUUAAUGUAUACCUAUUUUAAAUGUUUGUGUAAUUUAAAAAGUAUUCACAUCUUUAAAAAAACGUUUAUUUAAAUUUGAAAUUAUUCAUGUACUUAUAAUUUGAUGGGUCACAUGGACCCUAUUGAUUUGACGCAACAUUCCCUUACAUUGCAAAAUUUAAUUGCUUUUAUUCUAUUAUUAUAUGCACGCUUGUUAUUCUAGAUAGUGAAAAGUAUAUUGAGAAUCAAGUUUAGAAUUUAACUGGUCUUUCUAAAUUUUGGUACUGUGGGAAGUUAAUGUUCUAGAAACAUGCAAUUUUCUUUGUUACAGAUCAUUUUUUGUUUGCUACUACUCAUUGUUGAAUUUUGUUAUUUUUCUAUAGUUCACAAAGAUUUUGAGUAAAAACUUAAAAUUCCAUGUUUUAUUAGAAUUCCAUCCCUGCAACAUACUUUAUUUUAGGACCUUUUUAUGUUGUUUUCACUUAUUUUUACCGUAAGUUGGUUUCAAGAAAUAUUCCCUCGCAUUAUCUCAUCCACUAAUUAAUAUUUCAAUGAUUGUAUCACCGCAACAAUGAUUGCACUGCCACAAAUUUCCCGUCUUUAUUUUUUCUUUUUCUUUCCAUUAUUUUAUGGUCCCAUCUUUUAAUCACAGUGUUGUCUAGUUUGUUUCUAAAUCACAUGUAUUUAUUUGUAUGUCUUUAUUUUUUUAUGUUUGAUUGUGCUCUCGUCUUCCAUUUUUAGUUGUCCUCUAGAUAUUCUCUGCAUCGCCAUCCUUAAUGACAACCUCCGAGGCCCUGGACAGUGUAACGGUAAGCUCCUCUGCCACCUCUAGCCCCAUGGGAUAUAGUCGUGUCCACGUCCACGCCAUUUGCCAAACACUAGUGGUUGGGGUGUCAUCCUGUGGCGCCGCUUGAGACAAAACUGUGUGCACAUUUUUAUUUAAAAAAAAAUACAUAGAGUCUCCGUCUCCAUCUAAAAAAACAUCUCAUAAAAAAUCCUCACAUUCGUCUAAAAAAAGUAAAAAGGAAAAAAAAAUACCACCGCAGCGUAUUAGCGAGUGCCACUUUGUAUAACCCUCCAUUUAAAAAAUACUGUCCUCACCUUCAUCUAAAAUAUACAUUUAAAAAAUAAUCCACACAUUCAUCUAAUUUUUUUUUAAAUAUUUCUCAGCGCGGCCAACCAGCUUACGCCAUGUGGCAUAGCUAUUGGCCUUCCUUCAUGCGUAGCUUAAUGGGUUUAAUGAUGCCUCGACUGCUAUAGAUGGUUGUGACCAUGUCAUUGUGUUAGACGAAGUCAAAGAUGCAUGGCAGCUCCAAGUGCAUGGUGAGGACGUCAACUUCAUGCCCGGUGAUGAUCUCUGCAAAUACGGUGGCUGCCUGCAUGGAUGAUGAUGGCAUUGACAUCAUGGCCACAGCCGCGGGUUACCCGGGGUUGUCCCUUUUCUUUGUCCUGGUUGUAUUGCCACCAAGGGAUGUUAGAGAGCUCCUAUUUAAUGCUCUCUGCAUCAAAACUUUCAGAGAAACACACAUUGUGCUCGCCUUCAUGGGAACGACACGCUCGCUGGUUGGUGCGCGACCCAAAACACUAAUGAGACCCAUAAGAGAGUGCUCAAUGCUCUUUGUGUUCUAGCCAUGUGGAAGAUUUGAAAACAUCGCAAUGCAAUUGUGUUCGAGGGUGCUUCUCCAUCGGUGACCUAUGUGCUUCGUCGCUUCGCGGAGGAAGGCCGGAAUUGGAAACAAGCAGGUUUACUUAAGGGCGAUCUUGCCGGCUUCUUCAACCGGGUGGAACGGCGGGUGAGCACGACAAGUUAGCUUCUGAGAAAGUAGAAAGUAGGGUGGAGGUGGUAAUGCUGUACAUGUAAAUACCGUGUAACAACAUUGUGGAGGGCUCUUUCACCCCUUUCCUCUUAAUAUAUAUAGUACGCACACUCGUGCGUAUUCGAGAAAAAACUGCAUCAAAACCUGCUCGAUGGCCAGGGCACUUCAAGAUAAUGCUUGGGCGAGGGGCGUGUACCCUGAGGUAAACCCCGACACCUUGCACGAGUAUCUCGCAUUGUGGACAUGGGUUGCCGACAUUCCGCUGGAUCAGACGAGGCAGGAUGAAGUGGUUUGGUCCUGGGAGACGAACGGCAUAUACACCACGCGAUCAGCCUACGCGGCAAAGUUUUGGGGAAGGGAGGUGGAUCAAACGGAAGAAUUCACAUGGAAAGCUAGGGCUCCGCUACGCUGCCGAUCCUUCGCGUGGUUGGCCCUACAGAAUAGAUGCUGGACAUCUGAAUGCCUGGCAAGGAGAGGCCUUGAACACCAAGACAAUUGCCCGCUCUUCAACCAUGAGGAGGACAACAUCGACCACCUAUUCAUCCGAUGUGUCUUCAUCAGACAGCUUUGGGCUGUGAUCUUCCAGGCCAUGGACAAGUCAUGUUGGGUGCCCACGAUGAACGACACGCUCGCUGGUUGGUGCACGACUGAAAACACUAAUGAGACCCACAAGAGAGUGCUCAAUGCUCUUCGUGUUCUAGCCAUGUGGGAGAUUUGGAAACAUCGCAAUGCAAUUGUGCUCGAGGGUGCUUCUCCAUCGAUGACCUAUGUGCUUUGUCGCUUCGCGGAGGAAGGCCGGAAUUGGAAACAAGCGGGUUUACUUAAGGGCGAUCUUGCCGGCUUCUUCAACCGGGUGGAACGGCGGGUGAGCACGACAAGUUAGCUUAUGAGAAAGUAGAAAGUAGGGUGGAGGUGGUAAUGCUCAACAUGUAAAUACCGUGUAACAACAUUGUGGAGGGCUCUUUCACCCCUUUCCUCUUAAUAUAUAUAGUACGCACACUCGUGCGUAUUCGAGAAAAAGCUGCAUCAAAACGUGCUCAGUGGCCAGGGCACUUCAAGAUAAUGCUUGGGCGAGGGACGUGGACCUUGAGGUAAACCCUGACGCCUUGCACAAGUAUCUUGCAUUGUGGACAUGGGUUGCCGGCAUUCCGUUGGAUCACACGAGGCAUGAUGAAGUGGUUUGGUCCUGGGAGACGACGACAUAUACACCACGCGAUCAACCUACGCGGCAAAGUUUUGGGGAAGGGAGGUGGAUUAAACGGUAGAAUUCACAUGGAAAGCUAGGGCUCCGCUACGCUGCCGAUCCUUCGCGUGGUUGGCCCUGCAGAAUAGAUGUUGGACAUCUGACCGCCUGGCAAGGAGAGGCCUUGAUCACCAAGACAAUUGCCCGCUCUGCAACCAUGAGGAGUAAAGCAUCGACCACCUAUUCAUCCGAUGUGUCUUCACCAGGCAGCUUUGGGCUGUGAUCUUCCAGGCCAUGGACAAGCCAUGUUGGGUGCCCACGAUGAAUGACACGCUCGCUGGUUGGUGCAUGACCCAAAACACUAAUGAGACCCACAAGAGAGUGCUCAAUGCUCUUCGUGUUCUAGCCACGUGGGAGAUUUGGAAACAUCGCAAUGCAAUUGUGUUCGAGGGUGCUUCUCCAUCGGUGACCUAUGUACUUAUUCGCUUCGCGGAGGAAGGCCGAAAUUGGAAACAAGCGGGUUUACUUAAGGACGAUCUUGCCGGCUUCUUCAACCGGGUGGAACGGCGGGUGAGCACGACAAGUUAGCUUCUGAGAAAGUAGAAAGUAGGGUGGAGGUGGUAAUGUUGUACAUGUAAAUACCGUGUAACACCAUUAUGGAGGGCUCUUUCACCCCUUUCCUCUUAAUAUAUAUAGUAUGCACACUCGUGCGUAUUCGAGAAAAAACUGCAUCAAAACGUGCUCGGUGGCCAGGGCACUUCAAGAUAAUGCUUGGGCGAUGGACGUGGACUCGUAGGUAAACCCCAACGCCUUGCACGAGUAUCUCACAUUGUGGACAUGGGUUGCCGGCAUUCCGCUGGAUCAGACGGGGCAGGAUGAAGUGGUUUGCUCUUGGGAGAUGAACGACAUAUACACCACGCGAUCAGCCUACACGGCAAAGUUUUGGGGAAGGGAGGUGGAUCAAACGGCGGAAUUCACAAGGAAAGCUAGGGCUCCGCUAUGCUGCCGAUCCUUCGCGUGGUUGGCCCUGCAGAAUAGAUGCUGGACAUCUGACCGCCUGGCAAGGAGAGGCCUUGAUCACCAAGACAAUUGCCCACUCUGCAACUAUGAGGAGGAAAGCAUCGAGCACCUAUUCAUCCGAUGUGUCUUCACCAGGCAGCUUUGGGCUGUGAUCUUCCAGGCCAUGGACAAGCAAUGUUGGGUACCCACGAUGAACGACACACACGCUGGAUGGUGCACGACCCAAAACACUAAUGAGACCCACAAGAGAGUGCUCAAUGCUCUUCGUGUUCUAGGCAUGUGGGAGAUUUGGAAACAUCGCAAUGCAAUUGUGUUCGAGGGUGCUUCUCCAUUGGCGACCUAUGUGCUUCGUCAGUUCGCGGAGGAAGGACGGAACUGGAAACAAGCGGGUUUACUUAAGGACGAUCUUGCCGGCUUCUUCAACCGGGUGGAACGGCGGGUGAGCACGACAAGUUAGCUUCUGAGAAAGUAGAAAGUAGGGUGGAGGUGGUAAUGUUGUACAUGUAAAUACCGUGUAACAACAUUGUGGAGGGCUCUUUCACCCCUUUCCUCUUAAUAUAUAUAGUACGCACACUCGUGCGUACUCGAGAAAAAACUGCAUCAAAACAUGCUCGGUGGCCAGGGCACUUCAAGAUAAUGCUUGGGCGAUGGACGUGGACCCUGAGGUAAACCCCGACACCUUGCACGACUAUCUCGCAUUGUGGACAUGGGUUGCUGGCAUUCCGCUGGAUCAGACGAGGCAGGAUGAAGUGGUUUGCUCCUGGGAGACGAACGACAUAUACACCACGCGAUCAGCCUACGCGGCCAAGUUUUGGUGGAGGGAGGUGGAUCAAACAACGGAUUUCACAAGAAAAGCCAGGGCUCCGCAACACUGCCGAUUCUUUGCGUGGUUGGCCCUGAAGAAUAGAUGCUGGACAGCUGACCGCCUGGCAAGGAGAGGCCUUGAUCACCAAGACAAUUGCCCGCUCUGCAACCAUGAGGAGGAAAGCAUCGACCACCUAUUCAUCUGAUGUGUCUUCACCAGGCAGCUUUGGGAUGUGAUCUUCCAGGCCAUGGACAAGCCAUGUUGGGUGCCCACGAUGAACGACACGCUCGCUGGUUGGUGCACGACCCAAAACACUAAUGAGACCCACAAGAGAGUGCUCAAUGCUCUUCGUGUUCUAGCCAUGUGGGAGAUUUGGAAACAUCGCAAUGCAAUUGUGCUCGAGGGUGCUUCUCCAUCGGUGACCUAUGUGCUUCGUCGCUUCGCGGAGGAAGGCUGGAAUAGGAAACAUGCGGGUUUACUUACGGACGAUCUUGCAGGCUUCUUCAACCGGGUGGAACGGCGGGUGAGCACGACAAGUUAGCUUCCGAGAAAGUAGAAAGUAGGGUGGAGGCGGUAAUGUUGUACAUGUAAAUACCGUGUAACAACAUUGUGGAGGACUCUUUCACCCCUUUCCUCUUAAUAUAUAUAGUACGCACAGUCGUGCGUAUUCAAGAAAAAACUGCAUCAAAACAUGCUCGGUGGCCAGGGCACUUCAACAUAAUGCUUGGACGAGGGACGUGGACCCUGAGGUAAACCCCGACGCCUUGCACAAGUAUCUCGCAUUGUGGACAUGGGUUGCCGACAUUCCGCUGGAUCAGACGAGGCAUGAUGAAGUGGUUUGGUCCUGGGAGACGAACGACAUAUACACCACGCGAUCAGCCUACACGGCAAAGUUUUGGGGAACGGAUGUGGAUCAAACGGCGGAAUUGACAUGGAAAGCUAGGGCUCCGCUACGCUGCCGAUCCUUCGUGUGGUUGGCCCUGCAGAAUAGAUGCUGGACAUCUGUCCGCCUGGCAAGGAGAGGCCUUGAUCACCAAGACAAUUGCCCGCUCUGCAACGAUGAGGAGGAAAGCAUGGACCACCUAUUCAUCCGAUGUGUCUUCACCAGGCAGCUUUGGGCUGUGAUCUUCCAGGCCAUGGACAAGCCAUGUUGGGUGCCCACGAUGAACGACACGCUCGCUGGUUGGUGCACGACCCAAAACACUGAUGAGACCCACAAGAGAGUGCUCAAUGCUCUUCGUGUUCUAACCAUGUGGGAGAUUUGGAAAUCGCAAUGCAAUUGUGCUCGAGGGUGCUUCUACAUCGGUGACCUAUGUGCUUCAUCGCUUCGCGGAGGAAGGACGGAAUUGGAAACAAGCGAGUUUACUUAAGGGCGAUCUUGCCGGCUUCUUCAACCGGGUGGAACGGCGGGUGAGCACGACAAGUUAGCUUCUGAGAAAGUAGAAAGUAGGGUGGAGGUGGUAAUGUUGUACAUGUAAAUACCGUGUAACAACAUUGUGGAGGGCUCUUUCACCCCUUUCCUCUUAAUAUAUAUAGUACGCACACUCAUGCGUAUUCAAGAAAAAACUGCAUAAAAACGUGCUCGGUGGCCAGGGCACUUCAAGAUAAUGCUUGGGCGAGGGACAUGGACCCUGAGGUAAACCCCGACGCCUUGCACGAGUAUCUCGCAUUGUGGACAUGGGUUGCCGGCAUUCCGCUGGAUCACACGAGGCAUGAUGAAGUGGUUUGCUCCUGGGAGACGAACGACAUAUACACCACGCGAUCAGCCUACGCGGCAACGUUUUGGGGAAGGGAGGUGGAUCAAAUGGCGGAAUUCACAUGGAAAGCUAGGGCUCCGCUAUGCUGCCGAUCCUUCAUCUGGUUGGCCCUGCAGAAUAGAUGCUGGACAUCUGACCGCCUGGCAAGGAGAGGCCUUGAUCACCAAUACAAUUGCCCUCUCUGCAACCACGAGGAGGAAAGCAUCGACCACCUAUUCAUCCGAUGUGUCUUCACCAGGCAGCUUUGGGCUGUGAUCUUCCAGGCCAUGGACAAGCCAUGUUGGGUGCCCACGAUGAACGACACGCUCGCUGGUUGGUGCACGACCCAAAACACUAAUGGGACGCACAAGAGAGUGCUCAAUGCUCUUCGUGUUGUAACCAUGUGGGAGAUUCGGAAACAUCACAAUGCAAUUGUGCUCGAGGGUGCUUCUCCAUGGGUGACCUAUGUGCUUCGUCGCUUCGUGGAGGAAGGACGGAAUUGGAAACAAGCGGGUUUACUUAAGGGCGAUCUUGCCGGCUUCUUCAAUCGGGUGGAACGACGGGUGAGCACGACAAGUUAGCUUCUGAGAAAGUAGAAAGUAGGGUGGAGGUGGUAAUGUUGUACAUGUAAAUACCGUGUAACAACAUUGUGGAGGGCUCUUUCACCCCUUUCCUCUUAAUAUAUAUAGUACGCACACUCGUGCGUAUUCGAGAAAAAACUGCAUCAAAAUGUGCUCGGUGGCCAGGGCACUUCAAGAUAAUGCUUGGGCGAGGGACGUGGACCCUGAGGUAAACCCCGACGCCUUGCACGAGUAUCUCGCAUUGUGGACAUGGGUUGCCAGCAUUCCGCUGGAUCACACGAGGCAUAAUGAAGUGGUUUGGUCAUGGGAGACGAACGGCAUAUACACCACGCGAUCAGCCUACGUGGCAAAGUUUUGGGGAAGGGAGGUGGAUCAAACGGCGGAAUUCACAUGGAAAUCUAGGGCUCCGCUACGCUGCCGAUCCUUCGCAUGGUUGGCCCUGCAGAAUAGAUGCUGGACAUCUAACCGCCUGGCAAGGAGAGGCCUUGAUCACCAAGACAAUUGCCCACUCUGCAACCAUGGGAGGAAAGCAUCGGGCACCUAUUCAUCCGAUGUGUCUUCACCAGGCAGCUUUGGGCUGUGAUCUUCCAGGCCAUGGACAAGCAAUGUUGGGUGCCACGAUGAACGACACACACGCUGGUUGGUGCACGACCCAAAACACUAAUGAGACCCACAAGAGAGUGCUCAAUGCUCUUCGUGUUCUAGGCACGUGGGAGAUUUGGAAACAUCGCAAUGCAAUUAUGUUCGAGGGUGCUUCUCCAUCGGUGACCUAUGUGCUUUGUCAGUUCGCGGAGGAAGGACGGAAUUGGAAACAAGCGGGUUUACUUAAGGACGAUCUUGCCGGUUUCUUCAACCGGGUGGAACGGCGGGUGAGCACGAGAAGUUAGCUUCUGAGAAAGUAGAAAGUAGGGUGGGGGUGGUAAUGUUGUACAUGUAAAUACCAUGUAACAACAUUGUGGAGGGCUCUUUCACCCCUUUCCUCUUAAUAUAUAUAGUACGCACACUCAUGCGUAUUCGAGAAAAAACUGCAUCAAAACGUGCUCGGUGGCCAGGGCACUUCAAGAUAAUGCUUGGGCGAUGGACGUGGACCCGUAGGUAAACCCCGACGCCUUGCAUGAGUAUCUCGCAUUGUGGACAUGGGUUGCCGGCAUUCCGCUGGAUCAGACGAGGCAGGAUGAAGUGGUUUGGUCCGUGGAGACGAACGACAUAUACACCACAUGAUCAGCGUACGCGGCAAAGUUUUGGGGAAUGGAGGUGGAUCAAAUGGCGGAAUUCACAUGGAAAGCUAGGGCUCCGCUACGCUGCCGAUCCUUCGCGUGGUUGGUCCUACAGAAUAGAUGCUGGACAUCUGACCGCCUGGCAAGGAGAGGCCUUGAUCACCAAGACAAUUGCCUGCACUGCAACCAUGAGGAGGAAAGCAUCGACCACCUAUUCAUCCGAUGUCUCUUCGCCAGGCAGCUUUGGGCUUUGAUCUUCCAGGCCAUGGACAAGCCAUGUUGGGUGCCCACGAUGAACGACACGCUUGCUGGUUGGUGCACGGCCCAAAACACUAAUGAGACCCACAAGAGAGUGCUCAAUGCUCUUCGUUUUCUAACCAUGUGGGAGAUUUGGAAACAUCGCAAUGCAUUUGUGCUCGAGGGUGCUUCUCCAUCGGUGACCUAUGUGCUUCCUCACUUCGCGGAGGAAGGCCGGAAUUGGAAACAAGCGGGUUUACUUAAGGACGAUCUUGCCGGCUUCUUCAACCGGGUGGAACGGCGGGUGAGCACGACAAGUUAGCUUCUGAGAAAGUAGAAAGUAGGGUGGAGGUGGUAAUGUCGUACAUGUAAAUACCGUGUAACAACAUUGUGGAGGGCUCUUUCACCCCUUUCCUCUUAAUAUAUAUAGUACGCACACUCGUGCGUAUUCGAGAAAAAACUGCAUCAAAACGUGCUCGGUGGCCAGGGCACUUUAAGAUAAUGCUUGGGCGAGGGACGUGGACCCUGAGGUAAACCCCGACGCCUUGCACGAGUAUCUCGAAUUGUGGACAUGGGUUGCCGGCAUUCCGCAGGAUCAGACGAGGCAGGAUGAAGUGGUUUGGUUCUGGGAGACGAACGACAUAUACACCACGCGAUCAGCCUAUGCGGCAAAGUGUUGGGGAAGGGAGGUGGAUCAAAUGGCGGAAUUGACAUGGAAAGCUAGGGCUCCGCUACGCUACCGAUCCUUCGUGUGGUUGGCCCUGCAGAAUAGAUGCUGGACAUCUGACCUCCUGGCAAGGAGUUGCCUUGAUUACCAAGACAAUUGCCCUCUCUGCAACCAUGAGGAGGAAAGCAUCGACCACCUAUUCAUCCGAUGUGUCUUCACCAGGCAGCUUUGGGCUAUGAUCUUCGAGGCCAUGGACAAGCCAUGUUGGGUGCCCAUGAUGAACGACACACUCGCUGGUUGGUGCACGACCCAAAACACUAAUGAGACCCAGAAUAGAGUGCUCAAUGCUCUUCAUGUUCUAGCCAUGUGGGAGAUUUGGAAACAUCACAAUGCAAUUGUGCUCGAGGGUGCUUCUCCAUUCGUGACCUAUGUGCUUCGUCGCUUGGCGGAGGAAGGCCGGAAUUGGAAACAAGCGGGUUUACUUAAGGGCGAUCUUGCCAGCUUCUUCAACCGGGUGGAACGGCGGGUGGGCACGACAAGUUAGCUUCUGAGAAAGUAGAAAGUAGGGUGGAGGUGGUAAUGCCGUACAUGUAAAUACCGUGUAACAACAUUGUGGAGGGCUCUUUCACCCCUUUCCUCUUAAUAUAUAUAGUACGCACACUCAUGCGUAUUCGAGAAAAAACUGCAUCAAAACGUGCUCGGUGGCCAGGGCACUUUAAGAUAAUGCUUGGGCGAGGGACGUGGACCCUGAAGUAAACCCCGACGCCUUGCACGAAUAUCUCGCAUUGUGGACAUGGGUUGCCGGCAUUCCGCUGGAUCAGACGAGGCAGGAUGAAGUGGUUUGGUUCUGGGAGACGAACGACAUAUACACCACGCGAUCAGCCUAUGCGGCAAAGUUUUGGGGAAGGGAGGUGGAUCAAAUGGCGGAAUUCACAUGGAAAGCUAGGGCUCCGCUACGCUGCUGAUCCUUCGUGUGGUUGGCCCUGCAGAAUAGAUGUUGGACAUCUGACCGCCUGGCAAGGAGAGGCCUUGAUUACCAAGACAAUUACCCUCUCUACAACCAUGAGGAGGAAAGCAUCGACCACCUAUUCAUCCGAUGUGUCUUCACUAGGAAGCUUUGGGCUGUGAUCUUCCAGGCCAUGGACAAGCCAUGUUGGGUGCCCACGAUGAACGACACACUCGCUUGUUGGUGCACGACCCAAAACACUAAUGAGACCCAGAAGAGAGUGCUCAAUGCUCUUCGUGUUCUAGCCAUGUGGAAGAUUUGGAAACAUCACAAUGCAAUUGUGCUCGAGGGUGCUUCUCCAUUCGUUACCUAUGUGCUUCGUCGCUUGGCGGAGGAAGGCCGGAAUUGGAAACAAGCGGGUUUAUUUAAGGGCGAUCUUGCCGGCUUCUUCAACCGGGUGGAAUGGCGGGUGAGCACGACAAGUUAGCUUCUGAGAAAGUAGAAAGUAGGGUGGAGGUGGUAAUGCUGUACAUGUAAAUACCGUGUAACAACAUUAUGGAGGGCUCUUUCACCCCUUUCCUCUUAAUAUAUAUAGUACGCACACUCGUGCGUAUUCAAGAAAAAACUGCAUCAAAACGUGCUCGGUGGCCAGGGCACUUCAAGAUAAUGCUUGGGCGAGGGACGUGGUGAAGGAAAUAUGCCCUAGAGGCAAUAAUAAAGUUAUUAUUUAUUUCCUUAUAAUCAUGAUAAAUGUUUAUUAUUCAUGCUAGAAGUGUAUUUACCGGAAACAUAAUACAUGUGUGAAUACAUAGACAAACAAAGUGUCACUAGUAUGCCUCUACUUGACUAGCUCGUUAAUCAAAGAUGGUUAUGUUUCCUAACCAUGAACAAUGAGUUGUUAUUUGAUUAACGAGGUCACAUCAUUAGCAGAAUGAUCUGAUUGACAUGACCCAUUCCAUUAGCUUAGCACCCGAUCGUUUAGUAUGUUGCUAUUGCUUUCUUCAUGACUUAUACAUGUUCCUAUGACUAUGAGAUUAUGCAACUCCCGUUUACCGGAGGAACACUUUGGGUACUACCAAACGUCACAACGUAACUGGGUGAUUAUAAAGGAGUACUACAGGUGUCUCCAAUGGUUGAUGUUGGGUUGGCGUAUUUCGAGAUUAGGAUUUGUCACUCCGAUUGUCGGAGAGGUAUCUCUGGGCCCUCUCGGUAAUACACAUCACAUAAGCCUUGCAAGCAUUACAACUAAUAUGUUAGUUGUGAGAUGAUGUAUUACGAAACGAGUAAAGAGACUUGCCGGUAACGAGAUUGAACUAGGUAUUGGAUACCGACGAUCGAAUCUCGGGCAAGUAACAUACCGAUGACAAAGGGAACAACGUAUGUUGUUAUGCGGUCUGACCGAUAAAGAUCUUCGUAGAAUAUGUAGGAGCCAAUAUGGGCAUCCAGGUCCCACUAUUGGUUAUUGGCCAGAGACGUGUCUCGAUCAUGUCUACAUUGUUCUCGAAGCCGUAGGGUCCGCACGCUUAAGGUUACGAUGACAGUUAUAUUAUGAGUUUAUACAUUUUGAUGUACCGAAGGUUGUUCGGAGUCCCGGAUGUGAUCACGGACAUGACGAGGAGUCUCGAAAUGGUCGAGACGUAAAGAUUGAUAUAUUGGAAGCCUAUAUUUGGAUAUCGGAAGUGUUCCGGGUGAAAUCGGGAUUUUACCGGAAUACCGGGAGGGUUACCGGAACCCCCCGGGAGCUAUUUGGGCCAUAGUGGGCCUUAGUGGAAAAGAGAAGGGGCUGCCCUAGAUGGGCUGCGCGCCCCCCCUUUCCCCUAGUCCUAUUAGGACUAGGAGAGGUGGCCGGCCCCCUCCUCCUCUUUUCCCCUCCGAGGAAUCCUAGUUGGACUAGGAUUGGAGGGGGAAUCCUACUCCCAGAGGGAGUAGGACUCUCCUGCGCCUCCCCCCCUUGGACGGCCAGCCUCCCCUCCUCUCCUCCUUUAUAUACGGAGGCAGGGGCACCUCUAAACACACAAGUUGACACAAGUUGAUCCACGUGAUCUAUUCCUUAGCCGUGUGCGGUGCCCCCUGCCACCAUAUUCCUCGAUAAUACUGUAGCGGAGUUUAGGCGAAGCCCUGCUGCUGUAGUUCAUCAAGAUCGUCACCACACCGUCGUGCUGACGAAACUCUUCCCCGACACUUUGCUGGAUCGGAGUCCGGGGAUCGUCAUCGAGCUGAACGUGUGCUCGAACUCGGAGGUGCCGUAGUUUCGGUGCUUGAUCGGUUGGACCGAGAAGACGUACGACUACUUCCUCUACGUCGUGUCAUCGCUUCCGCAGUCGGUCUGCGUUGGGUACGUAGACAAUACUCUCCCCUCGUUGCUAUGCAUCACAUGAUCCUGUGUGUGCGUAGGAAAUUUUUUGAAAUUACUACGAAACCCUUCAGUGGUAUCCGAGCCAGGUUAUUUAUGUUGAUGUUAUAUGCACGAGUAGAACACAAGUGAGUUGUGGACGAUACAAGUCAUACUGCCUACCAGCAUGUCAUACUUUGGUUCGGCGGUAUUGUUGGACGAGACGACCCGGACCAACCUUACGCGUACGCUUACGCGAGACCGGUUCCCUCGACGUGCUUUGCACAGAGAUGGCUUGCGGGCGACUGUCUCUCCAACUUUAGUUGAACCAAGUAUGGCUACGCCCGGUCCUUGCGAAGGUUAAAACGGAGUCUAUUUGACAAACUAUCGUUGUGGUUUUGAUGCGUAGGUGAGAUUGGUUCUUACUUAAGCCCGUAGCAGCCACGUAAAACAUGCAACAACAAAGUAGAGGACGUCUAACUUGUUUUUGCAGGGCAUGUUGUGAUGUGAUAUGGUCAAGGCAUGAUGCUGAAUUUUAUUGUAUGAGAUGAUCAUGUUUUGUAACUGAGUUAUCGGCAACUGGCAGGAGCCAUAUGGUUGUCGCUUUAUUGUAUGCAAUGCAAUCGCGAUGUAAUGCUUUACUUUAUUACUAAACGGUAGUGAUAGUCGUGGAAGCAUAAGAUUGGCGAGACGACAACGAUGCUACGAUGGAGAUCAAGGUGUCGCGCCGGUGUCGAUGGUGAUCAUGACGGCGCUUCGGAGAUGGAGAUCAAAAGCACAAGAUGAUGAUGACCAUAUCAUAUCACUUAUAUUGAUUGCAUGUGAUGUUUAUCUUUUUAUGCAUCUUAUCUUGCUUUGAUUGACGGUAGCAUUAUAAGAUGAUCUCUCACUAAAUUAUCAAGAAGUGUUCUCCCUGAGUAUGCACCGUUGCCAAAGUUCCUCGUGCCCAGACACCACGUGAUGAUCGGGUGUGAUAAGCUCUACGUCCAUCUACAACGGGUGCAAGCCAGUUUUGCACACGCAGAAUACUCAGGUUAAACUUGACGAGCCUAGCAUAUGCAGAUAUGGCCUCGGAACACGGAGACCGAAAGGUCGAGCGUGAAUCAUAUAGUAGAUAUGAUCAACAUAACGAUGUUCACCAUUGAAAACUACUCCAUCUCACGUGAUGAUCGGUCAUGGUUUAGUUGAUUUGGAUCACGUAAUCACUUAGAGGAUUAGAGGGAUGUCUAUCUAAGUGGGAGUUCUUAAAUAAUAUGAUUAAUUGAACUUAAAUUUAUCAUGAACUUAGUACCUGAUAGUAUCUUGCUUGUUUAUGUUGAUUGUAGAUAGAUGGCUCGUGCUGUUGUUCCGUUGAAUUUUAAUGCGUUCCUUGAGAAAGCAAAGUUGAAAGAUGAUGGUAGAAAUUACACGGACUGGGUCCGUAACUUGAGGAUUAUCCUCAUUGCUGCACAGAAAAAUUACGUCCUGGAAGCACCGCUGGGUGCCAGGCCUGCUGCUGGAGCAACACCAGAUGUUAUGAACGUCUGGCAGAGCAAAGCUGAUGACUACUCGAUAGUUCAGUGUGCCAUGCUUUACGGCUUAGAAUCGGGACUUCAACGACGUUUUGAACGUCAUGGAGCAUAUGAGAUGUUCCAGGAGUUGAAGUUAAUAUUUCAAGCAAAUGCCCGAAUUGAGAGAUAUGAAGUCUCCAAUAAGUUCUAUAGCUGCAAGAUGGAGGAGAACAGUUCUAUCAGUGAGCAUAUACUCAAAAUGUCUGGGUAUAAUAAUCACUUGAUUCAAUUGGGAGUUAAUCUUCCGGAUGAUUGCGUUAUUGACAGAAUUCUCCAAUCACUGCCACCAAGCUACAAGAGCUUCGUGAUGAACUAUAAUAUGCAAGGGAUGAACAAGACUAUUCCCGAGCUCUUCGCAAUGCUGAAAGCUGCGGAGGUAGAAAUCAACAAGGAGCAUCAAGUGUUGAUGGUUAACAAGACCACUAGUUUCAAGAAAAAGGGCAAAGGGAAGAAAAAGGGGAACUUCAAGAAGAACGGCAAGCAAGUUGCUGCUCAAGAGAAGAAACCCAAGUCUGGACCUAAGCCUGAAACUGAGUGCUUCUACUGCAAGCAGACUGGUCACUGGAAGCGGAACUGCCCCAAGUAUUUGGCGGAUAAGAAGGAUGGCAAGGUGAACAAAGGUAUAUGUGAUAUACAUGUUAUUGAUGUGUACCUUACUAGAGCUCGCAGUAGCACCUGGGUAUUUGAUACUGGUUCUGUUGCUAAUAUUUGCAACUCGAAACAGGGACUACGGAAUAAGCGGGCACUGGCAAAGGACGAGGUGACGAUGCGCGUGGGAAACGGUUCCAAAGUCGAUGUGAUCGCUGUCGGCACGCUACCUCUACAUCUACCUUCGGGAUUAAUAUUAGACCUAAGUAAUUGUUAUUUGGUGCCAGCGUUGAGCAUGAACAUUAUAUCUGGAUCUUGUUUAAUGCGAGACGGUUAUUCAUUUAAAUCAGAGAAUAAUGGUUGUUCUAUUUAUAUGAGUAAUAUCUUUUAUGGUCAUGCACCCUUGAAGAGUGGUCUAUUCUUAUUGAAUCUCGAUAGUAGUAAUACACAUAUUCAUAAUGUUGAAGCCAAAAGAUGCAGGGUUGACAAUGAAAGUGCAACUUAUUUGUGGCACUAUCGUUUAGGUCAUAUCGGUAUAAAGCGCAUGAAGAAACUCCAUGCUGAUGGACUUUUGGAACCACUUGAUUAUGAAUCACUUGGUACUUGCGAACCGUGCCUCAUGGGCAAGAUGACUAAAACACCGUUCUCCGGUAAUAUGGAGAGAGCAACAGAUUUGUUGGAAAUCAUACAUACCGAUGUAUGUGGCCCGAUGAAUAUUGAGGCUCGUGGCGGAUAUCGUUAUUUUCUCACCUUCACAGAUGAUUUAAGCAGAUAUGGGUAUAUCUACUUAAUAAAACAUAAGUCUGAAACAUUUGAAAAGUUCAAAGAAUUUCAGAGUGAAGUUGAAAAUCAUCGUAACAAGAAAAUAAAGUUCCUACGAUCUGAUCGUGGAGGAGAAUAUUUGAGUUACGAGUUUGGUGUACAUUUGAAAAACUGUGGAAUAGUUUCGCAACUCACGCCACCCGGAACACCACAGCGUAAUGGUGUGUCCGAAUGUCGUAAUCGUACUUUACUAGAUAUGGUGCGAUCUAUGAUGUCUCUUACUGAUUUACCGCUAUCAUUUUGGGGAUAUGCUUUAGAGACGGCCGCAUUCACGUUAAAUAGGGCACCAUCAAAAUCCGUUGAGACGACGCCUUAUGAACUGUGGUUUGGCAAGAAACCAAAGUUGUCGUUUCUUAAAGUUUGGGGCUGCGAUGCUUAUGUGAAAAAGCUUCAACCUGAUAAGCUCGAACCCAAAUCGGAGAAAUGUGUCUUCAUAGGAUACCCAAAGGAAACUGUUGGGUACACCUUCUAUCACAGAUCCGAAGGCAAAACAUUCGUUGCUAAGAAUGGAUCAUUUCUAGAGAAGGAGUUUCUCUCGAAAGAAGUGAGUGGGAGGAAAGUAGAACUUGACGAGGUAACUGUACCUGCUCCCUUACUGGAAAGUAAUUCAUCACAGAAAACUGUUUCAGUGACACCUACACCAGUUAGUGAGGAAGCCAAUGAUAAUGAUCAUGAAACUUCAGAUCAAGAUACUAUCGAACCGCGUAGAUCAACCAGAGUAAGAUCCGCACCAGAGUGGUACGGUAAUCCUGUUCUGGAGGUCAUGCUACUAGAUCAUGAUGAACCUACGAACUAUGAAGAAGCGAUGGUGAGCCCAGAUUCCGUAAAGUGGCUUGAAGCCAUGAAAUCUGAGAUGGGAUCCAUGUAUGAGAACAAAGUAUGGACUUUGGUUGACUUGCCCGAUGAUCGGCAAGCAAUUGAGAAUAAAUGGAUUUUUAAGAAGAAGACUGACGCUGAUGGUAAUGUUACUGUCUACAAAGCUCGACUUGUCGCAAAAGGUUUUCGGCAAGUUCAAGGAAUUGACUACGAUGAGACCUUCUCACCCGUAGCGAUGCUUAAGUCCGUCCGAAUCAUGUUAGCAAUUGCCGCAUUUUAUGAUUAUGAAAUUUGGCAAAUGGAUGUCAAAACUGCAUUCCUGAAUGGAUUUCUGGAAGAAGAGUUGUAUAUGAUGCAACCAGAAGGUUUUGUCGAUUCAAAGGGAGCUAACAAAGUGUGCAAGCUCCAGCGAUCCAUUUAUGGACUGGUGCAAGCCUCUCGGAGUUGGAAUAAACGUUUUGAUAGUGUGAUCAAAGCAUUUGGUUUUAUACAGACUUUCGGAGAAGCCUGUAUUUACAAGAAAGUGAGUGGGAGCUCUGUAGCAUUUCUGAUAUUAUAUGUGGAUGACAUAUUACUGAUUGGAAAUGAUAUAGAAUUUCUGGAUAGCAUAAAGGGAUACUUGAAUAAAAGUUUUUCAAUGAAAGACCUCGGUGAAGCUGCUUACAUAUUAGGCAUUAAGAUCUAUAGAGAUAGAUCAAGACGCUUAAUUGGACUUUCACAAAGCACAUACCUUGACAAAAUUUUGAAGAAAUUCAAAAUGGAUCAAGCAAAGAAAGGAUUCUUGCCUGUAUUACAAGGUGUGAAGUUGAGUAAGACUCAAUGCCCGACCACUGCAGAAGAUAGAGAGAAUAUGAAAGAUGUUCCCUAUGCAUCAGCCAUAGGCUCUAUCAUGUAUGCAAUGCUGUGUACCAGACCUGAUGUGUGCCUUGCUAUAAGUUUAGCAGGGAGGUACCAAAGUAAUCCAGGAGUGGAUCACUGGACAGCGGUCAAGACAUCCUGAAAUACCUGAAAAGGACUAAGGAUAUGUUUCUCGUAUAUGGAGGUGACAAAGAGCUCACCGUAAAAGGUUACGUUGAUGCAAGCUUUGACACUGAUCCGGACGAUUCUAAAUCGCAAACCGGAUACGUGUUUACAUUAAACGGUGGAGCUGUCAGUUGGUGCAGUUCUAAACAAAGCGUUGUAGCGGGAUCUACAUGUGAAGCGGAAUACAUAGCUGCUUCGGAAGCAGCAAAUGAAGGAGUCUGGAUGAAGGAGUUCAUAUCCGAUCUAGGUAUCAUACCUAGUGCAUCGGGUCCAAUGAAAAUCUUUUGUGACAAUACUGGUGCAAUUGCCUUGGCAAAGGAAUCCAGAUUUCACAAAAGGACCAAACACAUCAAGAGACGCUUCAACUCCAUCCGGGAUCUAGUCUAGGUGGGAGACAUAGAGAUUUGCAAGAUACAUACGGAUCUGAAUGUUGCAGACCCAUUGACUAAGCCUCUUCCACGAGCAAAACAUGAUCAGCACCAAGGCUCCAUGGGUGUUAGAAUCAUUACAGUGUAAUCUAGAUUAUUGACUCUAGUGCAAGUGGGAGACUGAAGGAAAUAUGCCCUAGAGGCAAUAAUAAAGUUAUUAUUUAUUUCCUUAUAAUCAUGAUAAAUGUUUAUUAUUCAUGCUAGAAGUGUAUUUACCGGAAACAUAAUACAUGUGUGAAUACAUAGACAAACAAAGUGUCACUAGUAUGCCUCUACUUGACUAGCUCGUUAAUCAAAGAUGGUUAUGUUUCCUAACCAUGAACAAUGAGUUGUUAUUUGAUUAACGAGGUCACAUCAUUAGCAGAAUGAUCUGAUUGACAUGACCCAUUCCAUUAGCUUAGCACCCGAUCGUUUAGUAUUUUGCUAUUGCUUUCUUCAUGACUUAUACAUGUUCCUAUGACUAUGAGAUUAUGCAACUCCCGUUUACCGGAGGAACACUUUGGGUACUACCAAACGUCAUAACGUAACUGGGUGAUUAUAAAGGAGUACUACAGGUGUCUCCAAUGGUUGAUGUUGGGUUGGCGUAUUUCGAGAUUAGGAUUUGUCACUCCGAUUGUCGGAGAGGUAUCUCUGGGCCCUCUCGGUAAUACACAUCACAUAAGCCUUGCAAGCAUUACAACUAAUAUGUUAGUUGUGAGAUGAUGUAUUACGAAACGAGUAAAGAGACUUGCCGGUAACGAGAUUGAACUAGGUAUUGGAUACCGACGAUCGAAUCUCAGGCAAGUAACAUACCGAUGACAAAGGGAACAACGUAUGUUGUUAUGCGGUCUGACCGAUAAAGAUCUUCGUAGAAUAUGUAGGAUCCAAUAUGGGCAUCCAGGUCCCGCUUUUGGUUAUUGACCAGAGACGUGUCUCGAUCAUGUCUACAUUGUUCUCGAACCCGUAGGGUCCGCACGCUUAAGGUUACGAUGACAGUUAUAUUAUGAGUUUAUACAUUUUGAUGUACCGAAGGUUGUUCGGAGUCCCGGAUGUGAUCACGGACAUGACGAGGAGUCUCGAAAUGGUCGAGACGUAAAGAUUGAUAUAUUGGAAGCCUAUAUUUGGAUAUCGGAAGUGUUCCGGGUGAAAUCGGGAUUUUACCGGAAUACCGGGAGGGUUACCGGAACCCCCCGGGAGCUAUUUGGGCCAUAGUGGGCCUUAGUGGAAAAGAGAAGGGGCUGCCCUAGAUGGGCUGCGCGCCCCCCCUUUCCCCUAGUCCUAUUAGGACUAGGAGAGGUGGCCGGCCCCCUCCUCCUCUUUUCCCCUCCGAGGAAUCCUAGUUGGACUAGGAUUGGAUGGGGAAUCCUACUCCCAGAGGGAGUAGGACUCUCCUGCGCCUCCCCCCCUUGGCCGGCCAGCCUUCCCUCCUCUCCUCCUUUAUAUACAGAGGCAGGGGCACCUCUAAACACACAAGUUGACACAAGUUGAUCCACGUGAUCUAUUCCUUAGCCGUGUGCGGUGCCCCCUGCCACCAUAUUCCUCGAUAAUACUGUAGCGGAGUUUAGGCGAAGCCCUGCUGCUAUAGUUCAUCAAGAUCGUCACCACGCCGUCGUGCUGACGAAACUCUUCCCCGACACUUUGCUGGAUCGGAGUCCGGGGAUCGUCAUCGAGCUGAACGUGUGCUCGAACUCGGAGGUGCCGUAGUUUCGGUGCUUGAUCGGUUGGACCGAGAAGACGUACGACUACUUCCUCUACGUCGUGUCAUCGCUUCCGCAGUCGGUCUGCGUUGGGUACGUAGACAAUACUCUCCCCUCGUUGCUAUGCAUCACAUGAUCCUGUGUGUGCGUAGGAAAAUUUUUGAAAUUACUACGAAACCCUUCACGUGGACCCCGAGGUAAACCCCGACGCCUUGCACGAGUAUCUCGCAUUGUGGACAUGGGUUGCCGGCAUUCCGCUGGAUCUGACGAGGCAGGAUGAAGUGGUUUGGUCCUGGGAGACGAACGACAUAUACACCACGCGAUCAGCCUACGCGGCAAAGUUUUGGGGAAGGGAGGUGGAUCAAAUGGCGGAAUUCACAUGGAAAGCUAGGGCUCCGCUACGGUGCCGAUUCUUUGCGUGGUUGGCCCUGCAGAAUAGAUGCUGGACAUCUGCCCGCCUGGCAAGGAGAGGCCUUGAUCACCAAGACAAUUGCCCGCUCUGCAACAAUGAGGAGGAAAGCAUCGAGCACCUAUUCAUCCGUUGUAUCUUCACCAGGCGGCUUUGGGCUGUGAUCUUCCAGGCCAUGGGCAAGCCAUGUUGGGUGCCCACGAUGAACGACACGCUCGCUGGUUGGUGCGCGGUCCAAAACACUAAUGAGACCCACAAGAGAGUGCUCAAUGCUCUUCGUGUUCUAGCCAUGUGGGAGAUUUGGAAACAUCACAAUGCAAUUGUGUUCGAGGGUGCUUAUCCAUCGGUGACCUAUGUGCUUCGUCGCUUUGCGGAGGAAGGCCGGAAUUGGAAACAAGCGGGUUUACUUAAGGGCGAUCUUGCCGGCUUCUUCAACCGGGUGGAAUGACGGGUGAGCACGACAAGUUAGCUUCUGAGAAAGUAGAAAGUAGGGUGGAGGUGGUAAGGCUGUACAUGUAAAUACCGUGUAACAACAUUGUGGAGGGCUCUUUCACCCCUUUCCUCUUAAUAUAUAUAGUACGCACACUCGUCCGUAUUUGAGAAAAAAAAGUUCCUAUCAUUUCUUCUUCUUGUGAUUUUUUCCUUUGGUCUUUUCAGUCGGGUUUCCUUUAAAAAAGAGGAGGGGGGAGGGACGUUAGCAAAUUAAAAGUUGUGAUUUUUGAAAAUGACAAAUUUUCAAAUAGAAAAUAAAAUAAAAGUGUUCACGAAUUUAAAUUUGUUAUUGUUUUUAUCACAAAUUUGGACAUUGCUAAUGAUUUUUAGAAAACUUCUUUUUUUUAGAAAAUUUCACUAAUUAAGAAAAUAUUCACAAAUUUUAAAAAUGUUUUUGGAUUUAGUAAGAAAAUGAGAAAUGAAAAAGAGAAAUACUGGCGGAAGAAAAAAAAGGAAAAUAUAGAAAGAAAAAUCGCAAGAGCACAUAGAAAACUGCAUCAUUUUUUAAGCAUUUAAGAUCUCCAUGUGCGUUUGCUGGCAAUUUGUUACAAUGGGCGUCAUAUAGGAAAUUCCGGGAAGCUAGGCCUUGGUGGCUCUUUCAGCGCCAUUACAUCGAAAUCACUAAUUAAGAAGCACUUUUUGCAAAUGCCACUCCCCCCUUUUCAGGUUGCGACAAGUGAUGUAUUACAUGUGUGCCACUUGUCGCAACUUGAGAGUUUCACUUUUUUUUGUAUAUCCAUUUAUUCAAAAUAUUUUAUCUCUUAAACUGUGCGUCGAAAUCUUGAACCAUUUUCAUCGUUGGAUUCCUCACGUCGAUAUCUUCACAACUAGAUCCCAUAUUGAUAGAUUUUGAUGGACUUUUUUCCCAUGAGAAAAACGCGAACAAAAAAAAACGUAAGAAAAAACCAAAAGAAAAAACCGAAUCGGGAGCACCUUUUCUUUCCUUUCCAAAAGAGAAAUGACGAUGCCUCUCACAGAAGCAAAUCCCAGCCUCCACGAGAAGUAAACCUGUGCCUCUCGUGAAAGGAAAAGAAAUAAAACAUGUUUUUUUUCGUUUCCGAUGCCUCUCGCGGAAGCAAAUCCGUACCUUUUGGGAAGCAAAACCGUGCCUCUCGCGGAAGGAAAAAAAUGUGUUUUCUUUCGUUUUGAGAGGCACACCCAUGCCUCUAGCGGAAGGAAAAAAGAAAUAAUACACGUUUUUCCCAUUUCUAAGAGGCACCACCGUGCCUCUCGCGGAAGGAAAAAAAAGAAAACAUAUUUUUUUCAUUUUCGAGAGGCACGGCUGUGCCUCUCGCGGAAGAAAAAAAAAGAAAAUGUGUUUUGACACAAAUUUUGUUUUCAAUUUUUUGCCAGAAGCUAAGGAAGACUGAUGGAUAACCGAAAAGCAGAAAAAAUUCAAAAAAGAAAAACGCGUGCAAAAAAAAAACUGGAAGGAGCGCCGAGAGCGUAACACGUGGCAACGGUUGAGAGCUCGCCAAGAGGAGGCCCCCGAACGAGUCUCCGAUGACAUCCAUUACAACAACUUACUCCUUGGUUUUGUUUUACUGGGAUUGCUGCUAUAACGUUUACAUAGGUCGGGUCACCGAGCUCUCUCUCGCUCAGCUUACCUCCGUGCUCCACUCACUCGCUUAGGUUUUUUCUGCUCACUCACUGCUAGCUCAUAAAAAGCCGGCUACCUUUUUUUAAUCUGAAAAACUUCGUUAAAUCAAAAAAUGUUCAUGAAUUUGAAGAUGGUCUUGGAUUUUGAUAAUUUGGUAAAUUAAAAAAUAUUCAUAGAUUUAAAAGAUGUUCAUAAAUCCAAAAUAAGACUGAAAAUUUAAGAAAAUGUAACAAAAUUAAAAUGUAUUCUUAAAUUUCACACCUUACCGACAGGCCUAGCGUUCCCACAACCCCAUGCUCUACGAGACUCCAAAUCUAAGGAGCUUAGACAGGCCCAACGUUCCCACAACCCCAUGCACCAGGAGACUCCAAAUCUAAAAAGCUUAGUAUUUAUAAUGUGUAUAUUUGAUUAAACUCUUGAAAUAGGCUUUCCCCCGUUUAUAAAUAUUUGACUAAACUUAAAAAUAGUUAACCUUUUUAUUGAAUUUAUUUAUACACCAUCUGUUUGGAACGGAGGGAGUACUGUACUUGGCCUUGCAACCAAGCAUGCGAGCACAUUCACGUUGACCAAACCUACGUCCGUGCAUGCAUGUGUCUCAAAAAAGCGUAAAAGGGAAAUCACGAGCGAGCUAGCUGAUGAGUGAGCCAGCUGAUCAUGUAGAGUGGGGUAAAAGUAGGACCUGCAAGCGCAUGAGGCGGUCGGCGCUGUGCUUGAGCUGGUGCCGGCGGCUGGAGUAGUCGCGGCGCGCGUCGUCGACGUCGUCCAGGGCGCCUCCGCCGGCAGCGGGGUCGAACUCCCAGACCUGGCGGCCGGCGUGCGCGUUGGUGGUGCGCAGCCACGGCUGGCCGCCGGCCUCCUCCCCGAUCCUUAGCCGCCACAUCGAUCGACGUCGACUCAAACCAGUGGCUCUUCUUACAGCAGGGCAAGUGAGUGAGACGAGAGAAGAUACCAAAACGGCCCGUGUUUAAAUAGGGCGCUUAUAGGCGCCGGCGCAGCCCAGGCCAUCGGAUGUGAGCCAGGCGGCCGUUGGAUCCAGGCNNNNNNNNNNNNNNNNNNNNNNNNNNNNNNNNNNNNNNNNNNNNNNNNNNNNNNNNNNNNNNNNNNNNNNNNNNNNNNNNNNNNNNNNNNNNNNNNNNNNNNNNNNNNNNNNNNNNNNNNNNNNNNNNNNNNNNNNNNNNNNNNNNNNNNNNNNNNNNNNNNNNNNNNNNNNNNNNNNNNNNNNNNNNNNNNNNNNNNNNNNNNNNNNNNNNNNNNNNNNNNNNNNNNNNNNNNNNNNNNNNNNNNNNNNNNNNNNNNNNNNNNNNNNNNNNNNNNNNNNNNNNNNNNNNNNNNNNNNNNNNNNNNNNNNNNNNNCCAGCUUCUUCUUCCUCGGCAGCCGGGCUGGAUCCGCAUCUCCCGCUCGGGGAGCACGACACCGCACCUCCUGUCCCCUUCGGUGGUCGUCCCCGUCGUCAGUCCCCACCCUCGCCGGUCUUCCUCGUCGCCCACCGGACCCCGCCCUCGCCGGCCGUCAUUGUCAACGGUCCCCCACCCUCCCGGCCUCGUUCUCGCCUCGACCAAUGCACCAGCUCUACCUACGGUAGCAGCUCUUGACGAUGAAGAUUGUAGCUCCGCCGCCCUCGCCAUUGAUGCUCGCUGCAGGAAAAAUACGUCGACGGCCGCCAUGAGUCAAUCAACACCAUUUGAAUGGAUGUAGCAAAAAAUUUCACCGAUAGUAGCAAAAUCAAACUACGGGUGCAGCAAAACGCCGUCGCCACCUUCGCGAGGUCGCAGCUCCGCCUUACAUGGAUGUAGCAAAAACCUCCAACGGUAGUAGCAAACUACGGUUGCAGCAAAAAAAUCAUUGUCGUCCUCGCGAGGUCGCAGCUCUGCCUGAUGGAUGUAGCAAAAAGCUUUGCCGGUAGUAGCAAAAUCCAACAACGGUUGCAGCUUUCCCUUGGUGUGCAGUGCCAUUGAAGCUUUCUAUGUCUAUGGUUGAAGCUUUUUUCAACGGCUGUUGAAGCUUUUCUAGAUGACGGUUGCAACACUUGUAUACGCGGGAGGAUCCGGGUAUGGCUGCAGGCAGCCAUGGCGGUCGGCGAGGGAGCGCUUGGCCGCCGGCGAUGGAGCUUGUGGUGGCCCAAACACAGCCCGAGAGGAGGGGGGAGGGGAUGCACGCGCGUGAAAACUGUAGGUAGGGGGUGGACGUGUCGUGCGCGUGGGGAAAUCACCGGCCGCGCAGUGGACGGCGGCCUCGCCGGGGAGAUUGGGCUGCCGCAGGUAGAGGGUCGAUGCGGGGGGUAGACGGCGGCCUUGCCGGUGAGAUUGGGCUGCAGCGGGGUAGGAGCGCGAUGCGGGGGUGGACGGCGGCCUCGCCUGCGAAAUUGGGCUGCAGCAGAUGGAGUGCGGAUGCAGGUCUCAUUGACACAGGAGCACGGGGUAGCGGGCGACCGGCCGAAGCUUCGGCCGGCGCACCAUCUCCAAACGUUUCCCGUUUAAAUAGCUAGGAGAGCGAAAUGACAUUUCCACUGCAAAACCAUUACCACAAGGGUUACUAGAAAGGACAAACAAUCGUCUAUAUCUAUAUCUAUACCAAUAUAAAAAGAUUUAAAUGAAUAAAUCCAAUUAAUCUCGGCCAUCAAAUCAUGUCAAUCCAAUAACCUAGACUGCUUCAAUGUUGAGCGCUCAACACGUUUAGCGUGCAGUUAAUUUCAUGCCAAAUAUAAUACUAACCACAUAAUAACAUGCAUAUAAUAUUUUAUUUAAUAUCCGCAUGCAUUUAAUAUACUUUAAAAUUAAUAUGCAUUGCGCGCAUACAUUAACUAGUCUAAAAAAAAGCACAAAAGUAACGACAAGGAAGCGUCUGCAAGCGUUACGGAACUUAAGCUCCUGCACGUGGUGAAGCAGCUAAAUCACGCGGCAAAAGGUGUCGUGUCAAAUUGGUCCUUGUCAUCGAGCCUGCGUGCUCGUUGGUUCUUCCCCUUUGUUGUCUGUGGCCUUCAGCACGUUUUACUUUUUUUCAUUGUAAGACUUUGUCAUCUACUUUCUCCGUCUUAUAAUAUAAAACUUUUUGCAAGCUACAUUAGCAUAGAAUUUUUGUCUAGCCACUCGCUCCGCGAAAAAGAUCUGACCUGCGCCGCUCCCGGGCGGCAUCGGUGGUGGACUGGCUGCACCACGGCCGACCGCGUCUACCCUUCUUUUCCUCUCGUUGUCACCGAAGGAGGCUGUCAGCCGAAGGCCGCACGGCGGAAGGUGGCGAUGGGAUUUCUCCCAGUGGUCUGGUGGCCGCUAGUGCAAUCCGCAUGUGGGAUAGUGGCUCCAGUGGUGGACCUAAAAUACCAGCCUUGGGGGUGCCACAGUUCAAAAAUCACGCUAAAUAUUACUCCCUCCAUUUCUAAAUAUAGGGUGUAUAGAUUUUGGCUGGAAAAUUAAAAACGCACGUGGAGGAAAAAAUUCACAAAUUUUGGGUGGGAUUACAACUUACUAAUUGGCAUGAGAAAAUAGAGGAGCUUGCCUGAUAUAAGAAUAUGUAAUCAAAUCCAUAAAAAACCUAUUCAAACGAGUGGUGCAACGCAAUACACCUUAUAUUUUGAAUUAUUUCUCAAAAGUCUAUACACCUUAUAUUAAGGAAUGGAAGGAGUAUCAUAAUCUCAACAAAUAGGUCUAAAAUUGCAUCAAUUUCAUAGAUAUUUAGUGUUACAUAAAUAGUAAAAUUUAUUUUACAGUUUUGGAGGGGCUGCCAUGGCACCCAUUCUUCAGACCCAAAAGAAAUUGUGUCACCAGCAACAGUCCUCCUACAUUCAGAUCAUACAAUUUGACCUAGCGGAGCGUCGAACCGAAACUAACGUCAAGUACGAGUUAUUAAGCGCCGAAUCAAAAAAAGUGUACUUCCUUUACGCUUGAUGUAGGAUUUACCUAUUAAUAUGAAGUUCACUCUUCUGCUGACUUGAGUCCAGAAGGGAAGCGACUGAUUUCCAAGAUUUUUAUCUUACCUAAUUCUAUCUACGCCCAGGGGGUAGGUACGUCGCAAGCUCUGGGCAGCUAUCUUAUUCCAAAGAAUAUAGCUCCCUAAAAGGUUGCCGAUACCAUACCUCUAUUGAACCCUACUGGAUCCAAUUGUUUAAGAGCAUCCCUACAAGAUCCGCCGCUGAGUGUCUCCUUGGCUGAUGUGUUAGAUGGAGUCCUGUGGAGCCACUGGACCUGGCGGGCUUGGAGAGGUCGUGGACCGGCUUCGAUCCGGCGUGGCCCGGAGGCCAGUUGUGAGUUGUGAGUUGUGACCGUUGUGUGCUUCUGAUCUAGCGGCGCAUGCGCGGAGAUCGAGCGGACAUAGGAUGGACGGUGCCGGAACAACUUCAUUGCUGGCUUCACUGACCGGUCGCGUCUGCUCUAGGCCGGCAUGAAUGCGGCGCGGAGAGUGGAGGUGCGGUCACGUGGGAGAUGGUUUUAGGUGAGACCAGGUUGUUAGACACGUACGUGGCGGUUGUCGUGGUUAUAAGACUGACAGUAGAAAGGGGGGUAGGUAUAGAGAGGCAAGAUCCCAGCUAUGGUGAAGGUGUACACACAAGAUUUACGAGUUCAGGCCCUUCGCGGAGGAAGUAAUAGCCCUACGUCUCGGUGCCGGGAGGCGGUCGACUGGAUUAUAUGUUUGUGAUGUUACAGGGGGUGCCAACCCUUGUCUCAGAGGAGGGGAGUGGCUUAUAUAGAGUGCGCCAGGACCCCAGCCAUCCUUCAUUACAAGGGACUUAAUGUACAUAAAGUAGGGGCGUUACUGAUAACGCCAGCCUUAAGAGUUAUUAAUGAUCUUAAAGACUACGGAGUGAAUGUCCGAUCGAAGCAGUGCUGAGUGACUCGUGGCCUUCAAUAGGUCGAGUGAUUCUUCAUAUGGUCGAGUGACAACAGGCAAGGGGACACCCGAGUGAUAUAACUGGUCGAGUGGAUUGCACUCGACAUCUUUGACCGGGGGUUCUUUGCUGCCUCUUGAACAUCUUAUCUUCUAGGGUAGUGACCUUGAGUAGGACGUAUAGGUCAGGCCUAUGACCCUAUCCCAGGUCUGUAUCCUCAUCAUUAGCCCCUGAAUGGAUUGAGAUUCGAAUGGAAAGUAGGCUGAAGUUAAUCUUGUUGCGAGCUUCGCGUCUCGCGAGUGUUUUACGCAGGACGGAAGGCUCACGUUGGUACUUCAGCAUUGAUUCAGUCACCUUGAUCCAUUCAGAGAGUUGCCGACUGAACUUGUUGUAUCGUCUGCCGAGUGCUGUCUUGGGGUGCAGAAUCUUUGACGCGAUUGAUAGCAGUGUAUCCCAGAUUUCACGGGAUAUGAAAUUUCGGGGAAGCGCGCGGGACGGGGCGCGCCGAAGUAAGUGGGGUGGAUAAACAGUAGUGCCUCAAUUUCUGCGCCACCUUUUUCGCCACGUACGUUGCACGCGACUAUUGCAGGAUUUGACAGGAUUACCUGGUCCCAUGCGUCAGCCACUCGGGAGCAGCCCUUUAUAAGGCGAUGGGGCCGAGGCGUCUGCACUGUGCACACCCGUUUCUCUUUCUUCUUCCUCUGCUUCUUCACCGCAUCUAGUUCUUCUGCUCUCGACGCUGCCGCUCUGCCGCCAUGGUGAAGGACAAGACGACGGCGCUGGAGCAUGCGAAGAAGGCAACGGGGGCGGCGAAAGGCAAGAAGCAGAACCGUGGGUCGUCAUCGCGCGCGGGGCUGCCACCAGGCUGGAUCCAGGGCGAUUGGAUCCGGUCUUCGCUCCGGCAAGAAGAUCCGGAUGAGCUGGCGGAGUACGGGCUGAUCGCCAAGGGUGCAGCAAGGCUGCCUGAGGGGGAGACGGAGCCGCAGCCUCGACCGGGUGAGUGUGCACUGCUCGCCACCCAUGUCGACCGGGGUUUUUCGCUCCCUCCGCACCCCUUCUUCUGGGGCUUCCUGAACUUCUUCGGUGCCCAACUCCACCAUUUUCCCUCCAAUACCAUCAUGUACCUUGCCGCGUUCGUGUCGAUGUGUGAAAACUUUUUGGGGUGUCGACCGCACUGGGGUCUUUUCAAACAUAUUUUCACCAUCCGUUCCCAGUCGAUGAAGAAAGCAAAAACGAAUGACUCGAAGACCCAUGUCAUCCAGAUGUGUGGGGGUUUGGGUAUCCAAAAGAAGCAGAGGAGUUCUUUCCCUGCCAUGACUCUCCUUGAAUUGGUUAUAGGUUGGCAGUCGACCUGGUUCUACUGCCAGGACCUCGCAACUCCAGGUCAGUCGACUGGUCUUCCCCACUUCACUUUUGACCGUGUCCAGACUCCUUCUCCACUGAAAGUAACUGCUGCUGAGAACGUGGAGAUGAAGAUGUUGGUUGAGAAAGUGGUCCAACUGAUCAAUGAGGUUGUCACUGUCAUGAACCUGCUGGAAGUAUUCCUCAGUCGAUGCAUCCAGCCUCUUCAGGCCCGUGAGCAUCCCAUGUGGCUGUACUCUGGGUCCGACGACACCGCUCGUGUUCAUCCAGAGGAAGUGCCAGCCAAGAAUGUGGCCAUUUGGUUGAAGAGCAUUACAGAGGAGCCAGGCGAGUCAUCCCCUUCAGUGACGACAAUCAUCCCAACAAGGUAUGUUCUUUAUUCCAACUGUCUUUGCAUAUGCAUUCCGACUGUACUUGAUGUCGACUGACUUUUACUCGACUUUUUGUCUUGUAGGUUUUCACUGACAUGUACUCGAUGCCCAACAGUGAACAAGCUCUGGAGAAGGACCAGGAGGGAGAGGCCAGCGUGGAGGAGAGUGGUGAAUGGGAAUCUUCGGAUGAAGACGAGGAGGAGGAGAGCGAGGAGUCAAACGAGGAGGAAGAAGUCGACUUGCCGCCGCGCUCCGAACGCCGAUCCAAGCAACACCAUGACCCGGCGGGCGGGCACGGAAAGAACGUGGCUCCAAGUACCCACACGCAGAAGCGCACUCGGACAUCGACUCCGGAACCGAUAGAGAAGGUCUCCAAGUAGCCCAAGGUUGCUCCUCCAAAGACUCAGAAGACUUUGCCGCGGAUCAAGAUGGACGUCCCUGUUGCUUCGGGGUGAGUAUCUUGCUUGCAUUUAUCUAGGCCGACUGAAGUUUUUGUUAUGACCAAACGGAUCAUGUAUCUUUCUAGCCCAACCUCUGCUGCAACUGACAUGGAUAUCGACAAAGCUCCAGGAGACGAGGAGUCCGACGAUGCGGCCACUUCCCGAGCUGGUAAGUCCGUUCGACCAGGCUUCAUUUGGUCAAGUGGGUUGUCAGUCGGCUGAAUUUCCAAUGUUUCUCUCUCACUGCAGUUCCGCGAGAGGUCAUCGUGCUUCCUGAUGAUGAUGAAGAAGAAGUGCCUCUACAGGAGAGAGGAGGAGAGGUGGGGGCUCGAGUAGGAGAAAGCUUGAAGUUCAAGCCCCUCAGUCGAUGCCGGCACUUGAAGCGGUGGUCGAGCGUUCCGGAGAUCCGGUUCGGACCAACGUCACAUUUGCCAGCCCGUUGACGAUUGAUCGUCCGUCGGGGUCGACUGCUCCGGUUACUGCUGCUCCAGUGCAACUCCACUUGUCUGACCCAGUAGCUGCUUCGGCCGCCUUGGAGCCAUCACUCUUCGCUGCAUAUCAGACCCCAAACGAUUCGCCAAGUGCUGUCAGGGAGGCUCUUCGCCAGGUGAACCUUAUCAUGGAGCAGGUGAAGGUGAUGCAUGAGGUCAGUCAGGUGGCUUAUAACGCCAGCACCGCCCUGCAGACCAAUGUUAAGGUCAGCGAACUCCGACUGAACUUUUGAAUGCUGUUUUAUAUCCGGUCACCCACUGGGAUGUGCUUGUGUUUAGAGUUUAGGAAAUCUUCCACGUCACUAGACUCAUGCUGAGUCUUAGUAAUAUGUCCGGACCAGUGGGGGCAUGCCGAGUGCACCCACUGGGUGUAGUCCCCGAGACCAAGGUCGACUGCUGGCAGUCGGCUGAGGUCUUAGAAUCUUCUCUUUUUUUGGACUCACGCUGGGCAGACCAUGCUGAGUGUUGAUCUAAACUAGUGGGGGCACGAUCAGUGCACCCACUGGGUGUAGUCCCCUAGACUACUGUUGAAUAUUUGAUUCGACAGUAGUCUUAGAGUAACUUUUCACUGUCAUUGUCUCUUAUUUCUGUCGACUGAUAUAUCUCUCUUGCUGACUGCAGAGGUCUUGUGAUCUUGGAGCUCGGCUUUCCGAGUUAAAGAAGAAGCAUAUCAGCAUUGAACUUGAUCUUGAACUCGCAAAGAAGAACCUCAAGACUGCUCAAGAAGAAACGACCAUCAUGGGAGGUAACCAAUCGACUCUUGCCCACCUAGUAGCUCGCGUCUUUCACUGUUUUUUUAUUUCAGUCACUUUGAACCGAGUGACUUCACACAAGCAGAUGUGCGUAGUGAAAACCGUCAACUUCAGGCUCGUCUGAAGAGUGUUGUUUCUUUAGAGAGAAUGAAGGAAGCCUUGGAGAAGAAGGACCAGGACCUUGCUGCUGCUCAGAAGGAAGCACGUGAGAAGACAACGCUUGCGGACAAGAAGCUGGCUUCAGUCGGCAAGUUGGAAUAGGAGAACGCGAAGCUGAAGACCGCCAUCUCGGAAGCAAAUCGGGAAGUCGAGCAACUAAAGAAGGACAAGGAGAACCCGACCAACGAAGUUGGAGGCCUCAGAGCCAAGACAGGCAAGCUAGAGUCCUAUCUGGGACAACUUGCCACGAAACUAGUUCUGAAGCUUGAAGGUACAUCUGCUCGACUGGUUAAUUAUCGUCGAUUGAAGUAUGUUUGUAAUAUUGUCGACUCACUAUUUUUCGUGAUGGAGCAGAACUUUGUCAGGAUUUUGAAGCUGAAACCGGGCGGGUCGAGACAGGUCUCGACCCCAUCAAUUGCCCUGUGAAAGAUGAUGUUGCGAUGAACUUGUUGCGGUUGGAAUCACACUUGGACGGCGCCGUUGCCUAUCUGGCUCGACUGAAGGCGGCGAUGACCCGGGUGGACGUCGAACUCUGGCCUCAUGCGGAACUUUCUCAAGACCUCGAGUCGCUGAUGACUCGACUCAAUCAGAUUCCUGGUCGAGUGCAGGAGUGGAAGAAGUCAUCCGCUUGAUGUGGCGCUGACGUCGCCCUGUCAUUGGUUCGAGUGCACUGCAAGGAGGCCAGAGAAGACAAGUUGGCGGCCCUCAAGGUUGUGAAUACUAAGAAGCACACCUUCCAGUCCUUCAUGGACACCUUCCUUGAAGCAACCACUCGUAUUGCUGACAUCAUUGACCUCGACAACUUCUGCGAUCCAGCCAGCCCUUCUCCGGCCGGGUGAUCAAAAAAACAUUAUGCUUCACCCUCAUUUGCCUCGGAAUGCCGAGUGAUUUUGUAAUCGUUGAAACUCCUUCGGGCCUGACGCCCGAGUAUUUUAAUCCGCGGUUAAAAACCUUUGGAUUUAUCUGAACUUGGCUUAUCUUUGAAUAUGUUGUGUUUAUCUUCGAGCGGAACUCGUUCUUCCCUCGGAUUGGUUUUUGUACUCUCGAUGCAGCUUCUAAGGAAGAGGCCACAGUCGACCUGUUGGACGAGCCUUGAGCAGCAUUGAUCAGCUCAUCAGUGAGGCACUUGGCAAUGGCCUUGACAUUCCUGAAAGCAGUUCGUCUCGGCACUAGCUGUUGGAUAAUCCUUUGGCGGCAUUGAUCAGCUCAUCAGCGAGACAUUCAGCAAUGGUCUUGAUGUUCCUGAAAGCAGCUCGCCUUGGCGUGAGCUGUUGGAUGAGCCUUUGGCAGUGCGCACAAUCUCGUCCUUCUUCUUGACGGUGCAGCCCCGGGGGGAGGGGUCGUGGCCGACCCGUACCAUUCGAUUGGGUUUUUCAAACUUAGGCGAGUGCUGGACUGCAGCUAAGCCCCCGAGUGAGAGGAUUGCUCGCCACUCGGUAGGAUUUUUUAUACUUAGGCGAGUACUGGACUGCAGCUAAGCCCCCGAGUGAGAGGAUUGCUCGCCACUCGGUAGGAUNNNNNNNNNNNNNNNNNNNNNNNNNNNNNNNNNNNNNNNNNNNNNNNNNNNNNNNNNNNNNNNNNNNNNNNNNNNNNNNNNNNNNNNNNNNNNNNNNNNNNNNNNNNNNNNNNNNNNNNNNNNNNNNNNNNNNNNNNNNNNNNNNNNNNNNNNNNNNNNNNNNNNNNNNNNNNNNNNNNNNNNNNNNNNNNNNNNNNNNNNNNNNNNNNNNNNNNNNNNNNNNNNNNNNNNNNNNNNNNNNNNNNNNNNNNNNNNNNNNNNNNNNNNNNNNNNNNNNNNNNNNNNNNNNNNNNNNNNNNNNNNNNNNNNNNNNNNNNNNNNNNNNNNNNNNNNNNNNNNNNNNNNNNNNNNNNNNNNNNNNNNNNNNNNNNNNNNNNNNNNNNNNNNNNNNNNNNNNNNNNNNNNNNGACAGUGCAGCCCUGGGGGGAGGGGUCGUGGUCGACCCGCACCGUUCGGUGGGAUCUUUCAAACUUAGGCGAGUACUGGACUGCAACUAAGCCCCCAAGUGAGAGGCUGGCUCACCACUCGGUAGGAUUUUUUAUACUUAGGCGAGUACUGGACUGCAGCUAAGCCCCUGAGUGAGAGGCUGGCUCGCCACUCGGUAGGAUUUUUCAACACUUAGGCGAGUACUGGACUGCAACUAAGCCUCCAAGCGGGAGGCUGGCUCACCACUUGGUAGGAUUUUUCAACACUUAGGCGAGUAGUGGACUGUAGCUAAGCCUCCGAGUGGGAGGCUGGUUCACAACUCGGUAGGAUUUUUCAAACUUAGGCGAAAUGGAUUCACAACUAAGCCCCCGAGUGAGAGGUUGGCUCACCACUUGGUAGGAUUUUUCCUUUCAACUUAGGCGAAACGGAUUCGCAGCUAAGGCACCCACUGGGGGAUUUUAGAACAUGUAGAAAAUGAACAACAAUCAUUCGGAAGACUGUAAAAUCAUGUCUUUGAUAAUCAAACUAAAAGGUAUUUUUUUAUUACAUCUCAACAGUAUGAAUGCUUAAGAGUAAAAGGGGCGGAGCAGUUCCGCAUUCCAAGCGCGUGGCUCAUCUUUAUUGUGCUCGACGUUGAAAAGACGAUAUGCUCCGUUGUGGAGCACUUUGGUGACGACAAAGGGGCCUUCCCAAGCAGGAGCGAGCUUGUGUGGUUUCUGCUGGUCCACUCGAAGAACCAAGUCUCCCUCCUGAAAUACCUGACCCCUUACGUUUCUGGCAUGGAAUCGAUGCAGGUCUUGUUGAUAAAUGGUCGACCGAAUCAAGGCCAUCUCUCUUUCUUCUACCAGGAGAUCAACUGCAUCUUGCCGAGCCUGUUCCGCUUCUUCUUCUGAGAAGAGCUCGACUCGGGGCGCAUUGUGGAGCAUAUCACUCGGGAGUACGGCUUCAGCUCCGUAAACUAAGAAGAAUGGAGUUCGUCCAGUUGACCGAUUAGGAGUUGUCCUCAAUCCCCAAAGUACUGAUGGAAGUUCAUCGACCCAGGCACCUGCUGCAUGCUUGAGGUCACACAUCAAUCGGGUUUUUCAGUCUUUUGAGAAUCAAUCCAUUUGCUCUUUCAGCCUGCCCAUUCAACUGAGGAUGGGCAACUGAAGCGUAAUCGACCCUCGUGCCUUGGGAAGCACAAAAGGCUCUGAACUCGUCAGAGUCGAAGUUCAACCCGUUAUCCGUGAUGAUGUUGUGCAGAAAACCAUAUCUGAAUAUCAAUUCUCUGAUGAAACUUACAGAUGUACUUGCUUCAAGGUUUUUAAUGGGCUUGGCUUCGAUCCAUUUGGUAAACUUGUCGACUGCUACUAACACAUGGGUAAAUCCACUCCUGCCAGUCCUCAGAGGUCCAACCAUAUCCAAUCCCCAGACAGCGAAAGGCCAGACGAGUGGAAUAGUCUUCAGAGCUGAUGCAGGCUUAUGGGAGAUGUUGGAGUAAAACUGAUAGCCUUCACAUUUGUCUACUAUUUCUUUCGCCAUCUCGUUGGCAUGCGGCCAGUAAAAUCCGGCUCGGUAUGCUUUGGACACGAUGGUCCGAGAGGAUGCAUGAUGACCACAGGUCCUCGAGUGAAUAUCAUUGAGGAUCAUUCAGCCUUCUUCUGGCGUGGUGCAUUGAUAACCCACAAGUAUAGGGGAUAGUUGUAGCCUCUUUCGAUAAGUAAGAGUGUCGAACUCAACGAGGAGCUAAAGGUAGAAUAAAUAUUCCCUCAAGUUCUAUCAACCACCGAUACAACUCUACGCACGCUUGACGUUCGCUUUACCUAGAACAAGUAUGAAACUAGAAGUACUUUGUAGGUGUGAAAGGCUAGGUUUGCAAGAGAAUAAAGAGCACGUAAAUAAAAACUAGGGGCUGUUUAGAUAAAGAUGCAAAUAAAAGUAAAUAUAGCGAGUGUGGAAAAGUGGUGGUAGGAGUUGUGGAAUUGUCCCUAGGCAAUUGACUAUGUUACUAGACUGGUAAUCACUAUUGCAAUUCUAUUUGAGGGAGAGGCAUAAGCUAACAUACUUUCUCUACUUGGAUCAUAUGCACUUAUGAUUGGAACUCUAGCAAGCAUCCGUAACUACUAAAGAUUCAUUAAGGUAAAAACCAACCAUAGCAUUAAAGUAUCAAGUCCCCUUUUAUCCCAUACGCAAACAACCUACUUACUCGGGUCUGUGCUUCUGUCACUCACGCCACCCACCAUAAGCAAAUCAUAAACAUAUUGCAAACCCUACAGCAGGAAUCCCUCACGCUUGCGCGACACGGAGAGCACCAUAGGACAACACCAAUAAUAAAACAUGAAACUCAAACCAAUUAUAGCAAUUCAUCAAUCACCGAUAGGACAAUAGAAAUCUACUCAGACAUCAUAGGAUGGCAACACAUCAUUGCAUAAUAAUAUGAAGCAUAAAGCACCAUGUUCAAGUAGAGGGUACAGCGGGUUGCGGGAGAGUGGACCGCUGGAUAUAGAAGGGGAAGGUGAUGGAGAUGUUGGUGAAGAUGAUGGCGGUGUUGGUGAAGAUCACGGUGAUGAUGAUGGCCCCCGGCAGCGCUCCGGCGCCACCGGAAGCAAGGGGGAGAGAGGCCUCCUUCUUCUUCUUCUUCCUUGACCUCCUCCCUAGAUGGGAGAAGGGUUUCCCCUCUGGUCCUUGGCUCCCAUGGCUUGGGAGGGGCGAGAGCCCCUCCGAGAUUGGAUCUAUCUCUCUGUUCCUGCGUUCCCUGAUUCUACCCCUUCACCGUUUCCUUUAUAUCUGGAGAUCCGUAACUCUGAUUGGGGUGAAUCUUUCGCCCAGAUCUUUCUCAUAAAAUUAGCUUUCUUGCAUCAAAAGAAGAGCGUCAACCGCCUUACGGGUGGACCACGAGGGUCAGGGGCACGCCUGGGGGGUAGGGCGCGCCCCCUACCUCGUGACCACCCCGGACACCGUUUCACGUUGAUUUCACUUCCCAAAAAUCAUAAAUAUUCCAAAAAAAACCUCCGUCCGUUUUUAUCCCGUUUUGACUCCGUUUGAUAUUGGGUUUCUGCGAAACAAAAAACAUGCAACAGACAGGAACUGGCACUGGGCACUGGAUCAAUAAGUUAGUCCCAAAAAUAAUAUAAAAAGUUGCCAAAAAGUAUAUGAAAGUUGAAUAAUAUUGGCAUGGAACAAUCAAAAAUUAUAGAUACGACGGAGAUGUAUGAGCAUCCCCAAGCUUAAUUCCUGCUCGUCCUCGAGUAGGUAAAUGAUAAAAAAGAUAAUUUUUGAUGUGGAAUGCUACCUAGCAUAAUCUUGAUCAUAUGUCUAAUCAUGGCAUGAAUAUUAAGACACGAGUGAUUCAAAGCAAUAGUCUAUCAUUUGACAUAAAAAUAAUAAUACUUCGAGCGUACCAAUAAAGCAAUCAUGUCUUUUCAAAACAACAUGGCCAAAGAAAGUUAUCCCUACAAAAUCAUAUAGUCUGGCUGUUGCUCUAUCUUCAUCACACAAAGUAUUUAAUCAUGCACAACCCCGAUGACAAGCCAAGCAAUUGUUUCAUACUUUAAUAAUCUCAAACUUUUUCAACUUUCACGCAAUACAUGAGCGUGAGCCAUGGAUAUAACACUAUAGGUGGAAUAGAAUAUGAUGGUGGGGGUUAUGUGGAGAAGACAAAAAGGGAGAAAGUCUCACAUCGACUAGGCGUAUCAACGGGCUAUGGGGAUGCCCAUCAAUAGAUAUCAAUGUGAGUGAGUAGGGAUUGCCAUGCAACGGAUGCACUAGAGCUAUAAGUGUAUGAAAGCUCAAACUGAAACUAAGUGGGUGUGCAUCCAACUUGCUUGCUCAUGAAGACCUCGGGCAUUUGAGGAAGCCCAUCGGAAUAUACAAGCCAAGUUCUAUAAUGAAAAUUCCCACUAGUAUAUGAAGGUGAAAGCAUAGGAGGCUCUCUCUACGAAGAACAUGGUGCUACUCAAAAGCACAAGUGUGGUAAAAGGAUAGUAACAUUGCCCCUUCUCUCUUUUUAUCUAAUUUUUUUUAUUUUUUUAUUUUUUUGGUGGGCUUCUUUGGCCUCUUUUUUAUAUUUGGGCUUCUUUGGCCUCUUUUAUUUUUCAUAAAGUCCGGAGUCUCAUCCCGACUUGUGGGGGAAUCAUAGUCUCCAUCAUCCUUUCCUCACUGGGGCAAUGCUCUAAUAAUGAUGAUCAUCACACUUUUAUUUACUUACAACUCAAUAUCUAGAACAAAGAUAUGACUCUAUAUGAAUGCCUCCGGCGGUGUACCGGGAUGUGCAAUGAUCUAGCAUAACAAUGACAUAAAAAAACGGACAAGCCAUGAAAACAUCAUGCUAGCUAUCUUACGAUCAUGCAAAGCAAUAUGACAAUGAAAAUCUCAAGCUAUGGAUAUGAUGAUGAUGAUGAAAGUUGCAUGGCAAUAUAUCUCGGAAUGGCUACGGAAAUGCCAUGAUAGGUAGGUAUGGUGGCUGUUUUGAGGAAGAUAUAAUGAGGCUUAUGUGUGAUAGAGCGUAUCGUAUCACGAGGUUUGGAUGCACUGGCGAAGUUUGCACCAACUCUCAAGGUGAGAAAGGGCAAUGCACGGUACUGAAGAUGCUAGCAAUGAUGGAAGGGUGAGAGUGCGUAUAAUCCAUGGACUCAACAUUAGUCAUAAAGAACUCAUAUAAUUAUUGCAAAAAUCUACAAGCCAUUGAAAACAAAGUACUACGCGCAUGCUCCUAGGGGGAUAGAUUGGUAGGAAAAGACCAUCGCUCGUCCCCGACCGCCACUCAUAAGGAAGACAAUCAAUAAAUAAAAUUGUGCUCCAAUUUCAUCACAAAGCGGUUCACCAUACGCGCAUGCUACGGGAAUCACAAACCUCAACACAAGUGUCUCUACAAUCCACAACCACCCACUAGCAUGACUCUAAUAUCACCACCUUUAUAUCGCAAAACUAUUGCAAGGAAUCAAACAUAUCAUAUUCAGCGAUCUACAAGUUUAUGUAGGAUUUUAUGACUAACCAUGUGAAUGACCAAUUCCUAUCAUCUCUCGAAAUAGAUAUAAGUGAAGCAAGAGAGUUUAAUUAUUUCUACAAAAGAUAUGCCCACGCUCUAACAAAUAUAAGUGAAGCAAAAGAGCAUUCUACAAAUGGCGGUUUUCUAUGUGAAGAGAAACAUGCAAUCCAGACUUCAAAUGAUAUAAGUGAAGCGCAUGAAGCAUUCUAUAAAGCCAUACUCAAAAGAUUUAAGUGAAGUGCAAUGAGCAUUCUAUAAAUCAACCAAGGACUAUCUCAUACCAGCAUGGUGCAUAAAGGAAAAAAUGAAAACUAAAUUGCAAAAGACGCUCCAAGACUUGCACAUAAUGCAUGAACGAAACGAAUCCGAAAACAUACUGAUACUUGUUGAAGAAAGAGGGGAUGCCUCCCCAGCAUCCCCAAGCUUAUACGCUUGAGUCUCCUUGAAUAUUUACUUGGAGUGCCUCGGGCAUCCCCAAGCUUGAGCUCUUGCCUCUCUUCCUUCUUCUCACAUCGAAACAUCCUCGAUUAGACACUACAUCCACACAAAACUUCAACAGAAAACUCGGUAAGAUCUGUUAGUAUAAUAAAUCAAAUCACCAAUCUAAGUACUAUAGAAAACCAAUUCAUAUUUUGCUUUUUCAUUGUGUCUACUGUAAUAUAACUUUUCCAUGGCUUAAUCCACUGAUAUAAAUUGAUAGAUUCAUCAAAACAAGCAAACUAUGCAUCAAAAACAGAAUCUGUCAAAAACAGAACAGUCUGUAACAAUCUGAACAUCCACCAUACUUCUUCUACCCCUUAAAAUUCUACCAAAAUUAGGAAAAAUAAACAAGUUGUAUAGCAACACAGUACAAAAGGAAUCAGAACCGUUUGACUUUCCAGUUAAAAAUGUAAAAUCGCGCACUACAGCCAAAGUUUCUGUCCUGCACCGUACAAACCAACAAGCAUUGUAAACAUCCUAAAGGCAAACCUUAGCACAUUAUUUUUAUAAUACAAUGGAAUUGUACAAGGGGAUAAUUAUUUUUGUUGAAAAGUUUCUGUAAUCAAGAUUCACAAAGUUUCCAUGAGCAUGAACAAAGUUCAAGGAGCUCUCCCACUUCAACAAUGCUUGUCUUUCUCACUUUUACUUUCCUUUUUGAAAAGUUUUUAGGUUCCCCUGUUUAUUUUUGUGUUUUUAAACUAUAUAAAAGCACUCAACAGAAAUAAAUGACUCUCUAAAACUUCCGGGUUGUCUCCCUGGCAGCGCUUUCUUUAAAGCCAUUAAGCUAGGCAUUUAGUGCUCAAGUAGUGAAUCCACCCGGAUCCCAAGGUAUAUCAAAGCCAAUUUUAAUUAACAAUGAUUUGUAAUUUAGUAGUGAGCACAAAGUAACAUAAAUCAUGUAAUGAUGAAGUCUAACUCUCUUCCUAUGCAUCGGCAUGUCAUAAAAGAACAAUUCAUGCACACCAAGUAAAGGCCAAUGCAUAAUAUAAGCAGUUUCUUGCAAUUUUAUCGUGUGGGAAACAUAGAGAGGUGGAGGUAUAGUUCCUCUCUCAUAAUAAUUGCAAAUAGGAGCAGCAAGCACAUGCAUAUUAUAUUCAUCAAAAUCAUCAUGUGCAACGGUAAAAGGCAACCCAUCAAUAUAAUCCUUAAUAAGUGCAAACUUCUCCGAUAUAUAAUCAGGAGAAUUCAAAAAGAUAAUAGGACUAUCAUGCGUGGGUGCAAUAGUGACAAUUUCAUGUUUAACAUAAGGAACUAUAGCAAGUUCAUCUCCAUAAGCAUCAUUCAUAUUGGCAUCUUGGCCACAAGCAUAGCAAGCAUCAUCAAAAAGGGAUAUUUCAAAAGAAUCGUAGGGAUCAUAACAGUCAUCAUUGCAAUCAUCCUUCGGUAAGCACGAAGGGGAAUUAAAUAAUGUAUGAGUUGGAGGGUUACUCUCAUUAGAAGGAGGGCACAUGUAGCUAAUCCGCUCUUCCUCCUUUUGUUCUUCGCUCUCCUCAUCAUCUUUUUCAUCCAAUGGGCUCACAGUUUCAUCAAUUUCUUCUUCCAUAGCUUCCUGCAAAAUAUUAGUCUCUUCUUGGACAGCGGAGACUUCCUUAAUAAAUUGUUUAACAUCUUGGAGCCAUCGAAGAACAUGGUCCAAUGCUCCGAGUGAACUUGAGUCGGUAGUUGCUGUUCAAUCCACUCGGCAAGGAAAUCUGCGAUUGCUUGGGACUUGAUAGCUUUCUUUGCCUCAAACUUGAUAUCCAAUGGAAGGAGUUCAGUCGCCCAUUUUACCACUCGACCAGUUGCAUCUCUGUUGUUCAGAAUUUCAGAUAAUGGUGCGUCGCUGACGACUGUAAUGGAGUGAUCACAGAAAUAAUGUGCAACCUUCUUCAUGGUCAUGUAGAUUCCAUAGACAAGUUUAUGAUAAUGUGGAUAUCGCUGCUUGGAUGGAGUCAAAACUUCAGAAAGAUAAUACACUGGGAGCUGAACUUUGUAAGCCUUUCCUUCUUCUUCCCGCUCAACCGUGAGUACUGUACUAACAACUUGUCCAGUGGCUGCAAUAUAAAGGAGUAAAGGCUCUUUGCUGAUUGGCGCAGCAAGAACCGGGUGGGUGGAAAGUAGGGUUUUGAGCUCUACAAACGCUGCGUCAGCUUCAUCAGUCCACUCGAACUUAUCAGAUUUCUUCAUCAAUCAGUAAAGAGGCAAGGCCUUUUCACCGAGACGAGAGAUGAAUCGACUCAAGGCGGCCAAACAACCAGUAAGCUUCUGAAUGUCAUGCACACGCACAUGGCGUUUCAUUCGGAGGAUGGUAUCAACUUUUUCUGGAUUUGCGUCGAUCCCCCGUUCGGUAACAAGGAAACCGAUUAACUUUCCACCUGGAACUCCGAAUGUGCACUUUGAUGGAUUAAGCUUGAUAUCAUACCUUCUUAGGUUGGCAAAGGUUUUUGCAAGGUCAGUCAGUAGGUCGGAACCUUUACGUGACUUGACCACAAUGUCAUCCAUGUAUGCUUCCACAUUUCGACUGAUUUGAGUGAGCAGACACUUCUGAAUCAUCCUCAUGAAUGUGGCUCCGGAAUUUUUAAGACCAAAUGGCAUGGUGACAUAGCAAAAGCACCCAAAUGGGGUGAUGAAAGCUGUUCUUAUUUCAUCGGGACCAUACAGUCGGAUCUGAUGAUACCCGGAAUAUGCAUCUAAAAAAUACAAGCGCUCACACCCCGUAGUCGAAACAACAAUCCGAUCAAUGUGGGGGAGGGGGAAAUGAUCUUUCGGGUGGGCCCGAUUGAUAUGCUUGAAAUCGAUGCACAUACGAAGUGAAUCGUCCUUCUUAGGGACCAUGACCACAUUGGCGAGCCACUCAGAGUGGUAGAUCUCUCAGAUGAACUCUGCUGCUAGGAGCCGAGCCACUUCCUCGCCAAUUGCUUUUCUCUUCUGCACGGCGGACCACCGAAGAUGCUCUUUGACGGGUUUUACCUUGGGAUCGACAUGCAAAUGGUGCUCAGCCAGUCCUCUGGGUACACCCGACAUGUCAGAAGGUUUCCAUGCAAAGAUGUCCCAGUUCUCACGUAGGAACUAGAUGAACGCUUCUUCCUAUUUGUUGUCGAGUGUCAUCUGAAUAUGAGUCGGUGCAACAUUGGGAUCGGUAGGGUGGAUAUGAAUCGGCUUCAUUUCUCUAGACGACUGAAAUGCAGAAUCCAUGGCAGGCUUCUUAGCUCGGAGCAAAUCACUCGGAUCCGCAUUCUUCUGAUACUCUUGAAAUUCAACUACUGCCAUUUACGCAUCGGCAAUUUUGGAACCCUUCUGGAAGCAUUCUUCUGCCUUCUGCCGAUUACCAGUGACUGUGAUCACUCCUCUGGGACUGGGCAUCUUCAGCUUGAGGUACACGUAGCAUGGUCGAGCCAUAAAACACGCAUAGGCUGGCCUACCCAGAAUAGCAUGAUAAGCACUCUGGAAAUCCACUACUUCAAAUGUUAACUUUUCCUUAGGUAAUUCUUGGAAUCACCGAAAACUACGUCAAGGGCGAUCUGGCCGAGUGAUUCGGCUUUCUUUCCAGGGAUAACACCAUGAAAGCUCAUAUUGCUCUCGCUAAGUUUAGUCAUCGGAAUGCCCAUCCCCUUCAAGGUUUCAGCAUAAAGGAUAUUCAGACCGCUACCACCAUCCAUCAGCACUUUGGUCAGUCGAGUGCCUUUGACCACUUGGUCGACCACUAACGCUCGCCUCCCAGGAGUGGCUAUACGUGUCGGGUGAUCAGACUAGUCAAAUGUGAUGGUUGUUUGCGACCAUUUCAGGUAUGUGGUCGUCGUCGCCAGAGUGACCAUAUUCACUUCUCUAUUGAUAACUUUCAACCGACUCUUGCUCUCAACAUCAGCAAAAAUCAUUAGGGUGGAAUUGACUUUGGGAUUGUUGGGGAACGUUGCAGAAAAUAAUAUUUUUCUAUGCUUCACCAAGAUCAAUCUAUGAGUUCAUCUAGCAACGAGAGAGAGAAGUGCAUCUACAUACCCUUGUAGAUCGCGAGCGGAAGCGUUCAAGAGAACGGGGUUGAGGGAGUCGUACUCGUCGUGAUCCAAAUCACCGAUGAUCCUAGUGCUAAACGGACAGCAUCUCCGCGUUCAACACACGUAUGGUUGGGAAAGACGUCUCCUCCUUCUUGAUCCAGCAAGGGGGAAGGAGAGGUUGAUGGAGAUCCAGCAGCACGACGGCGUGGUGGUGGAUGCAGCAGCGAUCUCGGCAGGGCUUCGCCAAGCUCUACGAGAGAGAGAGGUGUAGUAGAGGGAGAGGGAGGCGCCAAGAGCAUGGGUGCGCCUGCCCUCCCUCCCCCCUCUUUAUAUAGGGCCCCUAGGGGGGCGCCGGCCCUAGGAGAUGCAAUCUCCAAGGGGGGCGGCAGCCAGGGGGGAAACUUGCCCCCCAAGCCAGGUGGAGGCGCCCCCACCCCUAGGGUUUCCAACCCUAGGCGCAGGCGGGGCCCAAGGGGGGCGCACCAGCCCACCAGGGGCUGGUUCCCCUCCCACUUCAGCCGAUGGGGCCCUUCGGGAUAGGUGGCCACACCUGGUGGACCCCCGGGACCCUUCCGGUGGUCCCGAUACAAUACCGGUGACCCCCGAAACUUUCUCGAUGGCCGAAACCUGACUUCCUAUAUAUAAUUCUUCACCCACGGACCAUUCCAGAACUCCUCGUGACGUCCGGAAUCUCAUCCGGGACUCUGAACAACUUUCAGGUUACUGCUACUAAUAUCUGUACAACCCUAGCGUCACUGAACCUUAAGUGUGUAGACCCUAUGGGUUCGGGAGACACGCAGACAUGACCGAGAUGACUCUCCGGUCAAUAACCAACAACGGGAUCUGGAUACCCAUGUUGGCUCCCACAUGCUCCUCGAUGAUCUCAUCGGAUGAACCACGAUGUCGAGGAUUCAAGUAACCCCGUAUACAAUUCCCUUUGUCAAUCGGUACGUUACUUGCCCGAGGUUCGAUCGUCGGUAUCCCAAUACCUUGUUCAAUCUCAUUACCGGCAAGUCACUUUACUCGUACUGUAAUGCAUGAUCCCGUGACCAAACACUUGGUCACUUUGAGCUCAUUAUGAUGAUGCAUUACCGAGUGGGCCCAGAGAUACCUCUCCGUCAUACGGAGUGACAAACCCUAGUCUCGAUCCGUGUCAACCCAACAGAUACUUUCGGGGAUACCCGUAGUAUACCUUUAUAGUCACCCAGUUACGUUGUGACGUUUGGUACACCUAAAGCACUCCUACGGUAUCCGGGAGUUACACGAUCUCAUGGUCUAAGGAAAAAAUACUUGACAUUGGAAAAUCUCUAGCAAACGAACUACACGAUCUUGUGCUAUGCUUAGGAUUGGGUCUUGUCCAUCACAUCAUUCUCCUAAUGAUGUGAUCCCGUUAUCAACGACAUCCAAUGUCCAUAGUCAGGAAACCAUGAAUAUCUGUUGAUCAAUGAGCUAGUCAACUAGAGGCUUACUAGGGACAUGUUGUGGUCUAUGUAUUCACACAUGUAUUACGAUUUCCGGAUAACACAAUUAUAGCAUGAAUAAAAGACAAUUAUCAUGAACAAGGAAAUAUAAUAAUAAUCAUUUUAAUAUUGCCUCUAGGGCAUAAUUCCAACAGUCUCCCACUUGCACUAGAGUCAAUAAUCUAGUUACAUUGUGAUGAAUCGAACACCCAUAGAGUUCUGGUGUUGAUCAUGUUUUGCUCGCGGAAGAGGUUUAGUCAACGGAUCUGCGACAUUCAGAUCUGUAUGCACUUUGUAAAUAUCUAUGUCUCCAUCUUGAACGUUUUCAUGAAUAGAGUUGGAGCGACGCUUGAUGUGCCUGGUCUUCUUGUGAAACCUGGGCUCCUUGGCAAGGGCAAUAGCUCCAGUGUUGUCACAGAAGAGAGUGAUCGGCCCCGACGCAUUGGGUAUGACUCCUAGGUCGGUGAUGAACUCCUUCAUACAUAUUGCUUCAUGCGCUACCUCUGAGGCUGCCAUGUACUCCGCUUCACAUGUAGAUCCCACCACGACGCUCUGCUUGCAACUGCACCAGCUUACUGCCCCAUCAUUCAAAAUAUAUACGUAUCCGGUUUGUGACUUAGAGUCAUCUAGAUCUGUGUCGAAGCUAGAGUCGACGUAACCCUUUACGACGAGCUCUUCGUCACCUCCAAAAACGAGAAACAUAUCCUUAGUCCUCUUCAGGUACUUCAGGAUAUUCUUGACCACUGUCCAGUGUUCCUUGCCGGGAUUACUUUGGUACUUUCCUACCAAACUUACGGCAAGGCUUACAUCAGGUCUGGUACAUAGCAUGGCAUACAUAAUAGACCCUAUCGCUGAGGCAUAGGGGAUGACACUCAUCUCUUCUAUAUCUUCUGCCGUGGUCGGGCAUUGAGUCGAGCUCAAUCUCACACUUUGUAAUAUAGGCAAGAACCCUUUCUUGGACUGAUCUAUAUUGAACUUCUUCAAUAUCUUAUCAAGGUAUGUGCUUUGUGAAAGACCUAUGAGGCGUCUCGAUCUAUCCCUAUAGAUCUUGAUGCCUAAUAUGUAAGUAGCUUCUCCAAGGUCCUUCAUUGAAAAACACUUAUUCAAGUAGGCCUUAAUGCUGUCCAAAAGUUCUAUAUCAUUUCCCAUCAAAAGUAUGUCAUCUACAUAUAAUAUGAGAAAUGCUACAGAGCUCCCACUCACUUUCUUGUAAACGCAGGCUUCUCCAUAAGUCUGCAUAAACCCAAACGCUUUGAUCAUCUCAUCAAAGCGAAUGUUCCAACUCCGAGAUGCUUGCACCAACCCAUAAAUGGAUCGCUGGAGCUUGCAUACCAUGUUAGCAUCCUCGGGAUCGACAAAACCUUCCGGCUGCAUCAUAUACAGUUCUUCCUUAAGAUAGCCGUUAAGGAAUGCCGUUUUGACGUCCAUUUGCCAUAUCUCAUAAUCAUAGUAUGCGGCAAUUGCUAACAUGAUUCGGACGGACUUCAGCUUUGCUAUGGGAGAGAAAGUCUCAUCAUAGUCAACCCCUUGAACUUGCCGAUAACCGUUAGCGACAAGUCGAGCUUUAUAGAUGGUAACAUUACCAUCCGCGUCCGUCUUCUUCUUAAAGAUCCAUUUAUUUUCUAUCGCUCGCCGAUCAUCGGGCAAGUCUGUCAAAGUCCAUACUUUGUUUUCAUACAUGGAUCCUAUCUCGGAUUGCAUGGGUUCAAGCCAUUUGUUGGAAUCUAGGCCCGCCAUCGCUUCUUCAUAGUUCGAAGGUUCACCGUUGUCUAACAACAUGAUUUCUAGGACAGGGUUGCCAUACCACUCUGGUGUGGAACGUGUCCUUGUGGACCUACGAAGUUCAGUAGCAACUUGAUCUGAAGUACCUUGAUCAUCAUCAUUAAUUUCCUCUCCAGUCGGUGUAGGCACCAUAGGAACAUUUUCCUGAGCUGCACUACUUUCCUGUUCAAGAGGUAGUACUUCAUCGAGUUCUACUUUCCUCCCACUUACUUCUUUUGAGAGAAACUCUUUCUCCAGAAAGGACCCGUUCUUGGCAACAAAGAUCUUGCCUUCGGAUCUAAGGUAGAAGGUAUACCCAAUGGUUUCCUUAGGGUAUCCUAUGAAGACGCAUUUUUCCGACUUGGGUUCAAGCUUUUCAGGUUGAAGUUUCUUGACAUAAGCAUCGCAUCCCCAAACUUUUAGAAACGACAGCUUAGGUUUCUUCCGAAACCAUAAUUCAUACGGUGUCGUCUCAACGGAUUUAGACGGUGCCCUAUUUAAAGUGAAUGUAGUUGUCUCUAGAGCGUAUCCCCAAAAUGAUAGCGGUAAAUCGGUAAGAGACAUCAUAGAUCGCACCGUAUCCAAUAGAGUGCGAUUACGAUGUUUUGACACACUGUUACGGUGAGGUGUUCCAGGCGGCAUGAGUUGUGAAACGAUUCCACAUUUCCUUAAGUGCGUACCAAAUUCGUGACUUAAAUAUUCUCCUCCACAAUCUGAUUGUAAGAACUUUAUUUUUCGGUCACGUUGAUUCUCUACCUCAUUAUGAAAUUCCUUGAACUUUUCAAAGGUCUCAGACUUGUGUUUCAUCAAGUAGACAUACCCAUAUCUACUUAAGUCAUCAGUGAGAGUGAGAACAUAACGAUAGCCUCCGCGAGCCUCAACACUCAUUGGACUGCACACAUCAGUAUGUAUGAUUUCCAAUAAGUUGGCUGCUCGCUGCAUUGUUCCGGAGAACGGAGUCUUGGUCAUUUUGCCCAUGAGGCAUGGUUCGCAUGUGUCAAAUGAUUCAUAAUUGAGAGACUCUAAAAGUCCAUCAGCAUGGAGCUUCUUCAUGCGCUUGACACCAAUGUGACCAAGGCGGCAGUGCCACAAGUAUGUGGGACUAUCGUUAUCAACCUUACAUCUUUUGGUAUUCACGCUAUGAAUAUGUGUAACAUCACGUUCGAGAUUCAUCAAGAAUAAACCAUUGACCAGUGGGGCAUGACCAUAAAACAUAUCUCUCAUAUAAAUAGAACAACCAUUAUUCUCGGAUUUAAAUGAGUAGCCAUCUCGUAUUAAACGAGAUCCAGAUACAAUAUUCAUGCUCAAAGCUGGCACUAAAUAACAAUUAUUGAGGUUUAAAACUAAUCCCGUAGGCAAAUGUAGAGGUAGCGUGCCGACGGCGAUCACAUCGACCUUGGAACCAUUCCCGACCCGCAUCAUCACCUCGUCCUUCGCCAGUCUCCGCUUAUUCCACAGCUCCUGCUUUGAGUUACAAAUAUGAGCAAUGACACCGGUAUCAAAUACCCAGGAGCUACUACGAGUACUGGUAAGGUACACAUCAAUUACAUGUAUAUCACAUAUACCUUUAGUGUUGCCGACCUUCUUGUCUGCUAAGUAUUUGGGGCAGUUCCGCUUCCAGUGACCCUUCCCUUUUCAAUAAAAGCACUCAGUCUCAGGCUUGGGUCCAUUCUUUGACUUCUUCCCGGCAACUGGCUUACCGGGCGCGACAACUUCCUUGCCGUCCUUCUUGAAGUUCUUAUUGCCCUUGCCUUUCUUGAACUUAGUGGUUUUAUUGACCAUCAACACUUGAUGUUCCUUUUUGAUUUCCACCUCCGCCGACUUCAGCAUUGAAAAUACUUCAGGAAUAGUUUUCACCAUCCCCUGCAUAUUGUAGUUCAUCACAAAGCUCUUGUAGCUAGGUGGGAGCGACUGAAGGAUUCUGUCAAUGACCGCCUCGUCCGGGAGGUUAAUGUCCAGCUGGGACAAGCGGUUGUGCAACCCAGACAUUUUGAGUAUAUGCUCACUGACAGAACUAUUUUCCUCCAUCUUACAACUAUAGAACUUGUCGGAGACUUCAUAUCUCUUGACCCGGGCAUGAGCUUGGAAAACCAUUUUCAGCUCCUCGAACAUCUCAUAUGCUCCGUGUUGCUCAAAACACUUUUGGAGCCCCGGUUCUAAGCUGUAAAGCAUGCCACACUAAACGAGGGAGUAAUCAUCAACACGUGACUGCCAAGCGUUCAUAACGUCUUGGUUCUCUGGGAUGGGUGCUUCACCUAGCGGUCCUUCUAGGACAUAUGCUUUCUUGGCAGCUAUGAGGAUGAUCCUCAGGUUCCGGACCCAGUCCAUAUAGUUGCUGCCAUCAUCUUUCAGCUUGGUUUUCUCUAGGAACGCGUUGAAGUUGAGGUUGCCAUGAGCGUUGGCCAUUUGAUCUACAAGACAUUUUUGCAAAGGUUUUUAGACUAAGUUCAUGAUAAUUAAGUUCAUCUAAUCAAAUUAUUUAAUGAACUCCCACUCAGAUUAGACAUUCCUCUAGUCAUCUAAGUGAUACAUGAUCCGAGUUGACUAGGCCAUGUCCGAUCAUCACGUGAGACGGACUAGUCAUCAUCGGUGAACAUCUCCAUGUUGAUCGUAUCUUCCAUAUGACUCAUGUUCGACCUUUCGGUCUCUUGUGUUCCGAGGCCAUGUCUGUACAUGCUAGGCUCGUCAAUUUAACCUAAGUGUUUGCAUGUGUAAAUCUGUCUUACACCCGUUGUAUGUGAACGUUAGAAUCUAUCACACCCGAUCAUCACGUGGUGCUUCGAAACAACGAACUUUCGCAACGGUGCACAGUUAGGGGGAACACUUUCUUGAAAUUAUUAUGAGGGAUCAUCUUAUUUACUACCGUCGUUCUAAGUAAACAAGAUGCAAAAACAUGAUAAACAUCACAUGCAAUCAAAUAGUGACAUGAUAUGGCCAAUAUCAUACAGCUCCUUUGAUCUCCAUCUUCAGGGCGCCAUGAUCAUCUUCUUCACCGGCAUGACACCAUGAUCUCCAUCAUCGUGUCUCCAUGAAGUUGCUCACCAACUAUUACUUCUACUACUAUGGCUAAUGGUUUAGCAAUAAAGCAAAGUAAUUACAUGGCGUUUAAUCAUUGACACACAUGUCAUACAAUAAUUAAGACAACUCCUAUGGCUCCUGCCGGUUGUCAUACUCAUCGGCAUGCAAGUCGUGAUUCCUAUUACAAGAACAUGAUCUCAUACAUCACAUAUAUAUCAUUCAUCACAACUUUUGGCCAUAUCACAUCACAAGGCAUAUGCUGCAAAAACAAGUUAGACGUCCUCUAAUUGUUGUUGCAUGUUUUAUGUGGCUGCAAUAGGGUUCUAGCAAGAACGUUUUCUUACCUACGUGAAAGCCACUACGUGAUAUGCCAACUUCUAUUUACCCUUCGUAAGGACCCUUUUCAUCGAAUCCGCUCCAACUAAAGUGGGAGAGACAGACACCCGCUAGCCACCUUAUGCAACCAGUGCAUGUCAGUCGGUGGAACAUGUCUCACGUAAGCGUACGUGUAAGGUCAGUCCGGGCUGCUUCAUCCCACGAUGCCGCCGAAGCAAAAUAAGACUAGUAGUGGCAAGAAAGUUGACAACAUCUACGCCCACACAAAUUUGUGUUCUACUCGUGCAAAGAGAACUACGCAUAGACCUAGCUCAUGAUGCCACUAUUGGGGAACGUUGCAGAAAAUAAAAAAUUUCUAUGCUUCACCAAGAUCAAUCUAUGAGUUCAUCUAGCAACGAGAGAGAGAAGUGCAUCUACAUACCCUUGUAGAUCGCGAGCGGAAGCGUUCAAGAGAACGGGGUUGAGGGAGUCAUACUCGUCGUGAUCCAAAUCACCGAUGAUCCUAGUGCUGAACGGACAGCACCUCCGUGUUCAACACACAUACGGUUGGGGAAGACGUCUCCUCCUUCUUGAUCCAACAAGGGGGAAGGAGAGGUUGAUGGAGAUCCAGUAGCAGGACGACAUGGUGGUGGAUGCAGCAGCGAUCUCGGCAGGGCUUCGCCAAGCUCUACGAGAGGGAGAGGUGUAGUAGAGGGAGAGGGAGGCACCAAGAGCAUGGGUGCGGCUGCCCUCCCCCCCUCUUUAUAUAGGGCCCCUAGGGGGGGGGGGCCGGCCCUAGGAGAUGCAAUCUCCAAAGGGGGGCGACGGCCAGGGGGGAAACUUGCCCCCCAAGCCAGGUGGAGGCGCCCCCACCCCUAGGGUUUCCAACCCUAGGCGUAGGCGGGGCCCAAGGGGGGCGCACCAGCCCACCAGGGGCUGGUUCCCCUCCCAUUUCAGCCCAUGGGGCCCUCCGGGAUAGGUGGCCCCACCCAGUGGUCUCGAUACAAUACCGGUGACCCCCGAAACUUUCCCGAUGGCCGAAACCUGACUUCCUAUAUAUAAUUCUUCACCUCCGGACCAUUCCGGAACUCCUCGUGACGUCCGGGAUCUCAUCCGGGACUCCGAACAACUUUCGGGGUACUGCAUACUAAUAUCUCUACAACCCUAGCAUCACCGAACCUUAAGUGUGUAGACCCUACGGGUUCGGGAGACACGCAGACAUGACCGAAACGACUCUCCGAUCAAUAACCAACAACAGGAUCUGGAUACCCAUGUUGGCUCCCACAUGCUCCUCGAUGAUCUCAUCGGAUGAACCACGUUGUCGAGGAUUCAAGUAACCCCGUAUACAAUUCCCUUUGUCAAUCGGUAUGUUACUUUCCCGAGAUUCAAUCGUCGGUAUCCCAAUACCUCGUUCAAUCUCGUUACCAGCAAGUCACUUUACUCGUACCGUAAUGCAUGAUCCUGUGACCAAACACUUGGUCACUUUGAGCUCAUUAUGAUGAUGCAUUACCGAGUGGGCCCAGAGAUACCUCUCCGUCAUACGGAGUGACAAAUCCCAGUCUCGAUCCGUGUCAACCCAACAGAUACUUUUGGGGAUACCCGUAGUAUACCUUUAUAGUCACCUAGUUACGUUGUGACGUUUGGUACACCCAAAGCACUCCUAUGGUAUCCGGGAGUUACACGAUCUCAUGGUCUAAGGAAAAAAUACUUGACAUUGGAGAAGCUCUAGCAAACGAACUACACGAUCUUGUGCUAUGCUUAGGAUUGGGUCUUGUCCAUCACAUCAUUCUCCUAAUGAUGUGAUCCCGUUAUCAACGACAUCCAAUGUCCAUAGUCAGGAAACCAUGACUAUCUGUUGAUCAACGAGCUAGUCAACUAGAGGCUUACUAGGGACAUAUUGUGGUCUAUGUAUUCACACAUGUAUUACGAUUUCUGGAUAACACAAUUAUAGCAUGAAUAAAAGACAAUUAUCAUGAACAAGGAAAUAUAAUAAUAAUCAUUUUAUUAUUGCCUCUAGGGCAUAUUUCCAACAAGGAUAACCGUCGUCUUCCUCUUUGUCCUCGUCUUUGUCCUCGUCUUUGUCCGACUCUUUCUCCUUAUCAUUGGGUUGUUUCUCUCGGAACCGCUGGAUCAGGAGUCGACAUUGUCGAGUGGUGUGCUUAGGGUAAAUCAUAUUACCCUCUUCAUCUUUCUUCGUAUGGAUAUGACAUGGUAAAUCCAACACAUCAUUUCCUGCUUGAUCUUUUACCUUCUUAGGGGUCCAGGGCCCCUAGGUUUUCCUUUAAACCUUCCUUGAACUAUUGCCGCGAUCUCACCGGGUGCUGCAGGCUCGGCCUUACAUUUCUGUUUCCGAAUAGAAUUACCGCCACCGGCAUCUUGGCCGACUGGUUUACCCUUUCCGCUGCGGAGUCGAUCCUCUUCUUCUCCGUUAGCGUACCAGGUGGCUAUUUCCAUCAUCCGAGUCAGAGUCAUAUCUCCAGUCCGACCGAACUUCAGGACCAGCUCUCGGUAUUUAAUGCCUUCCUUGAAGGCAGACACUGCUUGAUGCUUCGAUACAUUUUCCACGGUGUGAUGCAAAGUGGUCCACCUCUAAAUGAAAUCCCUUAGAGUCUCACUCGGUUUCUGCACACAAUGCUGCAACUCUGUCAACCCUGCUGGCCGCUUGCAAGUGCCCCCAAAAGUUCUGACGAACACCCGAGCAAGCUCUUCCCAACUGUAUAUACUGCCUAGGGCUAACUGAGUCAACCAUGCUCUGGCCGACCCUUCUAACAUCAGAGGAAGAUGCUUCAUUGCCACUUCAUCAUUCCCGCCACGAUUCUGCACAGCCACUCGGUAAUCCUCAAGCCAAGUUUCAGGUUUGGACUCUCCAGUGAACUUACUGACUCUAGUCGCCAACCUAAAGUUGGAAGGAAUCACUGUAGCCCUAAUGGCUCUGCUGAAACGGACCCGAAACAUGAACUCUGCUACCAGUCGGACGAUCUCUGCCAGGGUCUUCUCUACGCGCUCUGUUCCGGUCGACUAGACCUUGAACGAGGAUAGAUCUUGCAUCAAAGCCUGGCUCUCUUGGGUCGACUAGUGCUCUGCGCUCGCCACUAUGACGGCGCCUGUCAUCGUACUGCCGAGACACAUAUGAUGCACUCCUCGGAGGAGGUGUGGGCACUCGACGAUGAUCGUCGUGGUCGACUCGGUGAUCAUACUGCCCAUGGCCUUCACGCCGCAGGGGCGAUCUUGGACUGUGGGCCGACUAAACUAUAUCCGCUACCAGGGAUCUGCUAUGAAUCCUAUUCCGCGACAGAGACACUAUCGUGUUCUGUUCUCCUGCUGCCCGGAGUAAGGCUUGGAUCUGCAUCAAACCUCUGCCAGCCUCCGACUGGGAAGGUUGAAUUGACUCUGCUAUUCGGGCCGCAGCUGUGAGAUUUUGUAUCGGAGUGCAGUAUACCUUAGGCGGAGGCGGGAAAAGCUGUCAUCAACUGGACUCAGGGAUCCGCUCCUGAGCGCGCUCGUCGAGAGCGCGCUGGAGGUUCUUCAGUCGAGUGUGCUCAGCCAAAUUAGCCAAGCGCACCUCUUCCAAGGCCCGAGCCUCAGGGGUUUCUCCAACGAUGGGCGUGUGUGUUGGAAAUAUGCCCUAGAGGCAACAAUAAAUUAUUUAUUAUUAUUAUAUUUCCUUGUUCAUGAUAAUCGUUAUUAUCCAUGCUAUAAUUGUAUUGAUAGGAAACUCAGAUACAUGUGUGGGUACAUAGACAACACCAUGUCCCUAGUAAGCCUCUAGUUGACUAGCUCGUUGAUCAAUAGAUGGUUACAAUUUCCUAACCAUGGACAUUGGAUGUCGUUGAUAACGGGAUCACAUCAUUAGGAGAAUGAUGCGAUGGACAAGACCCAAUCCUAAGCCUAGCACAAAGAUCGUGUAGUUCGUAUGCUAAAGCUUUUCUAGUGUCAAGUAUCAUUUCCUUAGACCAUGAGAUUGUGCAACUCCCAGAUACCGUAGGAAUGCUUUGGGUGUACCAAACGUCACAAGGUAACUGGGUGGAUAUAAAGGUGCACUACGGGUAUCUCUGAAAGUGUCGGUUGGGUUGGCACGAAUCGAUACUGGGAUUUGUCACUCCGUGUAACGGAGAGGUAUCUCUGGGCCCACUCGGUAAGACAUCAUCAUAAUGUGCACAAUGUAACCAAGGGGUUGAUCACGGGAUGAUGUGUUACGGAACGAGUAAAGAGACUUACCGGUAACGAGAUUGAACAAGGUAUCGGGAUACCGACGAUCGAAUCUCGGGAAAGUACAAUACCGCUAGACAAAGGGAAUUGAAUACGGGAUUGAUUGAAUCCUCGACAUCGUGGUUCAUCCGAUGAGAUCAUCGUGGAACAUGUGGGAGCCAACAUGGGUAUCCAGAUCCCGCUGUUGGUUAUUGGACGAAGAGUUGUCUCGGUCAUGUCUAUGUGUCUCCCGAACCCGUAGGGUCUACACACUUAAGGUUCGAUGACGCUAGGGUUAUAGGGAAUAGAUAUAUGUGGUUACCGAAUGUUGUUCGGAGUCCGGGAUGAGAUCCCGGACGUCACGAGGAGUUCCGAAAUGGUCCGGAGGUAAAGAUUUAUAUAUGGAAAGUUGUUGUUCGGGUUCCGGGAAAAGUUCGGGUUUUCUGGUAUUGUACCGGGAAGCUUCCAGAAGGUUCCGGAGGAUUCCGGAGGGGUUCGGAGGUCCGAAAAUUGUUCCACCACGUCCAACACAGCAGCAUGGGCUGUAAGGGGGCGCCCUAGCCUUAAUGGGCCAGGGGCACCAGCCCCCCCAAGGCCCAUGCGCAUGGGAGAGGGGAAACCCUAAGGGGAGGGCCUCCAAUUGACUUGGGAGGCACUCCUCCCCCCCUUGGCCGCCGCCCCCAACCUUAGAUGGGAUCUAGGAGGGCCGGCCCCCUUUCUCUCCCCACCUAUAAAUAGUGGAGGGGUGGGAGGGCAGCCGCACCCCAAGUUCUGGCGCAGCCCUCCCCUCUCCCAAGUACUCCUCCUCUCCCGCGAUGCUUGGCGAAGCCCUGCAGGAUUGCCACGCUCCUCCACCACCACCACGCCAUCGUGCUGCUGCUGGACGGAGUCUUCCCCAACCUCUCCCUCUCUCCUUGCUGGAUCAAGGCAUGGGAGACGUCACCGGGCUGCAUGUGUGUUGAAAUGGAGGUGCCGUCCGUUCGGCACUAGGAUCUCCGAUGAUUUGGAUCAUGACGAGUACGACUCCUUCAACCCCGUUCUCUUGAACGCUUCCGCUUAGCGAUCUACAAGGGUAUGUAGAUGCACUCUCCUCUCUCUCGUUGCUAGUCUCUCCAUUGAUAGAUCUUGGUGACUCGUAGGAAAUUUUUGAAUUUCUGCUACGUUCCCCAACAGUGGCAUCAUGAGCUAGGUCUAUUGCGUAGAUUCUUUGCACAAGUAGAACACAAAGUAGUUGUGGGCGUUGAUUUUGUUCAAUAUGCUUACCGUUACUAGUCCAAUCUUGUUUCGACGGUAUUGUGGGAUGAAGCGGCCCGGACCGACCUUACACGUACACUUACGUGAGAAAGGUUCCACCGAUUGACAUGCACUUGUUGCAUAAGGUGGCUAGCGGGUGCCAGUCUCUCCCACUUUAGUCGGAUCGGAUUCGAUGAAAAGGGUCCUUAUGAAGGGUAAAUAGCAAUUGACAUAUCACGUUGUGGCUUUUGCGUAGGUAAGAAACGUUCUUGCUAGAAACCCAUAGCAGCCAUGUAACAUGCAAACAACAAUUAGAGGACGUCUAACUUGUUUUUGCAGGGUAUUCUAUGUGAUGUGAUAUGGCCAAAAAGGAAUGUGAUGAAUGACAUGUGAUGUAUGAGAUUGAUCAUGUUCUUGUAAUAGGAAUCAUGACUUGCAUGUCGAUGAGUAUGACAACCGGCAGGAGCCAUAGGAGUUGUCUUUAUUUAUUGUAUGACCCACGUGUCACUAAAUAACGCCAUGUAAUUACUUUACUUUAUUGCUAAACUGUUAGCCAUAGUGGUAGAAGUAAUAGUUAGGGAGACAACUUCAUGGUGACACGAUGAUGGAGAUCAUGAUGAUGGAGAUCAUGAUGAUGGAGAUCAUGGUGUCAUGCCGGUGACGAUGAUGAUCAUGGAGCCCCGAAGAUGGAGAUCAAAAGGAGCAAAAUGAUAUUGGCCAUAUCAUGUCACUAUUUGAUUGCAUGUGAUGUUUAUCAUGUUUAUACAUCUUAUUUGCUUAGAACGACAGUAGUAAAUAAGAUGAUCCCUCACUAAAAUUUCAAGAAAGUGUUCCCCCCUAACUGUGCACCAUUGCGAAAGUUCGUCGUUUCGAAGCACCACGUGAUGAUCGGGUGUGAUAGAUUCUAACAUUCACAUACAACGGGUGUAAGCCAUAUUUACACACGCGAAACACUUAGGUUAACUUGACGAGCCUAGCAUGUACAGACAUGGCCUCGGAACACAAGAGACCGAAAGGUCGAGCAUGAGUCGUAUAGUAGAUACGAUCAACAUGAAGAUGUUCACCGAUGAUGACUAGUCCGUCUCACGUGAUGAUCGGACACGACCUAGUUGACUCGGAUCAUGUAAUCACUUAGAUGACUAGAGGGAUGUCUAUCUGAGUGGGAGUUCAUAAGAUGAACUUAAUUAUCCUGAACAUAGUAAAAAAAACCUUUGCAAAUUAUGUCAUAGCUCGCGCUUUAGUUCUACUGUUUUAGAUAUGUUCCUAGAGAAAAUUUAGUUGAAAGUUGAUAGUAGCAAUUAUGCGGACUGGGUCCAUAAACUGAGGAUUGUCCUCGUUGCUUCGUAGAAGGCUUAUGUCCUUAAUGCACCGCUCGGUGUGCUGAACCUCGAACGUGGUCUGUGGAUGUUGCGAACAUCUGACACACACGUUUUUGAUGACUACAUAAUAGUUCGGUAAUGUUAAAUGGUUUAGAGUUGAGGCACCAAAGACAUUUUUUGAAAUGUCGCGGAACAUAUGAGAUGUUUCGAGGGCUAAAAUUAGGAUUUCAGGCUCGUGCCCAUGUCAAGAGGUAUAAGACCUCCGACGAUUUUCUUAGCCUGCAAACUAAGGGAGAAAAGCUCAAUCGUUGAGCUUGUGCUCAGAUUGUCUGAGUGCAACAAUCACUUGAAUCGAGUGGGAGUUGAUCUUCCAGAAGAGAUAGUGAUGUUUCUCCAAAGUCAUUGCCACCAAGCUGCUAGAGCUUCAUGAUGAACUAUAACAUAUCAGGGAUAGAUAUGAUGAUCCUUGAAGUGUUCAUGAUGUUUGACACCGCGAAAGUAGAAGUCAAGUAGGAGCAUCAAUUGUUGAUGGUUGCUAAAACCACUAGUUUCAAGAAGGGCAAGGGCAACAAGGGAUACUUCAUGAAACGGCAAAACAGUUGCUGCUCUAGUGAAGAAACCCAAGGUUGAACCCAAACCCGAGACUAAGUGCUUCUGUAAUGAGAGGAACGGACACUGAAGCAGAACCACCCUAGAUACUUGGUAGAUGAGAAGGCUGGCAAGGUUGAUAGAAGUAUAUUGGAUAUACAUUGAAUUAAAUGUGUACUUUACUAGUACUCCUAGUAGCACCAGGGUAUUAGAUACCGGUUCGGUUGCUAAGUGUUAGUAACUCGAAAUAAAAGCUACGGAAUAAACGGAGACUAGCUAAAGGUGAGCUGACGAUAUGUGUUGGAAGUGUUUCCAAGGUUGAUGUGAUCAAGCAUUGCACGCUCCCUCUACCAUCGAGAUUUGGUGUUUGCGUUGAGCAUAGACAUGAUUGGAUUAUAUCUAUCGCAAUACGGUUAUUCAUUUAAGGAGAAUAAUGGUUACUCUGUUUAUUUGAAUAAUACCUUCAAUGGUCUUGCACCUAAAAAGAAUGGUUUAUUGAAUCUCGAUCGUAGUGAUACACAUUUUCAUGCCAAAAGUUAUAAGAUAGUAGUGAUAGUAGCACUUACUUGUGGCACUGCCAUGUAAGUCAUAUUGGUAUAAAACGCAUGAAGAAGCUCCAUGUUGAUGGAUCUUUGGACUCACUCGUUUUUGAAAAGUUUGAGACAUGCGAACCAUGUCUAUUGGUGUAUACGCAUGAUGAAACUCCAUGCAGAUGGAUCGUUUGGACUCACUUGAUUUUGAAUCACUUGAGAUAUGCAAAUCAUACCACAUGGGCAAGAUGACUGAAAAGCCUCGUUUUUCAGUAAGAUGGAACAAGAUAGCAACUUGUUGGAAGUAACACAUUUUUGAUGUGUGCAGUCCAACGAGUGCUGAGGCAUGCAGUGAAUAUCGUUAUGUUCUUACUUCACAGAUGAUUUGAGUAGAUACUGAGUAUAUUUACUUGAUGAAACACAAGUCUGAAUUAUUGAAUGGUUCAAGUAAUUUCAGAGUGAAGUUGAAGAUCACCGUGACAGGAGGAUAAAAUGUCUAUGAUAUGAUCAUAAAGAUGAGUAUCUGAGUUACGAGCUUUGGCACGCUAUUAAGACAUUGUGGAAAUUGUUUCACAAUUAAUACCGCCUGGAACACCAUAGUGUGAUGGUGUGUCCGAAUAUCAUAGUUGCACCCUAUUGGAUAUGGUGCGUACCAUGAUGUAUCUUAUCGAAUUACCACUAUCGUUCAUGGGUUAGGCAUUAGAGACAACCGCACCCACUUUAAUAGGGCACCACGUAAUUCUGUUGAGACGACACCGUUUGAACUAUGGUUUGGAGAAACCUAAGUUGUCGUUUCUUAAAAGUUUGGGGCUGCGACGCUUAUGUGAAAAAGUUUCAGGUUGAUAAGCUCGAACCCAAAGCAGAUAAAAAGCAUCUUCAUAGGACACCCAAAACAGUUGGGUAUACCUCCUAAUUCAGAUCCGAAAGCAAUAGGGAUUGUUUCUUGAAUCGGGUCCUUUCUCGAGGAAAAGUUUCUCUCGAAGAAUUGAGUGGGAGGAUGGUGGAGACUUGAUGAGGUUAUUGAACCAUCACUUCAACUAGUGUGUAGCAGGGCACGUGAAGUUGUUCCUGUGGCGCCUACACCAAUUGAAGUAGAAGCUUAUGAUAGUGAUCAUGAAGUUUCGGAUCAAGUCACUACCGUACCUCAUAGGGUGACAAGGAUGCGUACUACUUCAGAGUGGUACAAUAAUCCUGUCUUGAAGGUCAAGUUGCUAGACAACAAUGAAUCUACGAGCUAUGGAGAAGUGAUGGUGGGCCCAUAUUCCGACAAAUGGUUAGAAGCCAUGAAAUCCGAGAUAGGAUCCAUGUAUCAAAACAAAGCAUGGACUUUGGUGGACUUGCCCGAUGAUCGGCAAGUCAUUUAGAUAAAUGGAUCUUUAAGAAGAAGACGGACAUGGACGGUAAUGUCACCGUCUAUGAAGCUCGACUUGUGGCGAAGAGUUUUUGACAAGUUCAAGGAGUUGACUAUGAUGAGAUUUUCUCAUCCAUAGUGAUGCUUAAGUCCGUCGGAAUCAUGUUAGCAUUAGUUGCAUUUAUGAAAUCUUCCAAAUGGAUGUCAAAACGAGUUUCCUUACCAGUUUUUGUAAGGAAAGGUUGUAUGCAAUACAAUCAGAAAGGUUUUGUCGAUCCUAAGGAUGCUAAAAGGUAUGCUAGCUCCAGCGAUCCUUCUAAGGACUGGAGUAAGCAUCUCGGAGUUGGAAUGUACGCUUUGAUGAGAUGAUCAAAGAUUUUGGGUUUAUACAAAGUUUAUGAGAAACUUGUAUUUCCAAAGAAGUGAGUGGGAGCACUAUAGAAUUUCUGAUGAGUAUAUGUUGUUGACAUAUUGUUCAUCAGAAAUGAUGUAGAAUUUCUGGAAAGCAUAUAGGGUUAUUUGAAAAGUGUUUUUCAAUAGAAAACCUGGAAUAAGCUGCUUGAACAUUGAGCAUCAAGAUCUAUGAGGAUAGAUCAAAAACGCUAAAUGGUACUUUCAAAUGAGCAUAUACCUUGACAUGAUCUUGAAGGUGUUCAAGAUGGAUCAGUCAAAGAAGGAGUUCUUGCCUGAGAUGUAAGGUAUGAAGUUAAGACUUAAAGCUCGACCACGGCAGAAAAGAGAGAAAGGACGAAGGUCGUCCCCUAUGCUUUAGACGUAGGCUCUACAGUAUGCUAUGCUGAGUACCGCACCUGAUGUGUGCCUUGCCACAUGUCUGGCAAGAGGGUACAAAGGUGAUCAAGGAGAGGAUCACCAGAUAGCGGUCAAAAUUAUCCUUAGAGGAAUAAGGAUAUGUUUCUCGGUUAUGGAGGUGAUAAAGAGUUCGACGUAAAGAGUUGCGUCGAUGCAAGCUUUAACACCUAUCCGAAUGACUCUGAGUAGCAAACCGGAUACGUAUAGUGGAGCGACCAUUUGGAAUAGCCCCAAGUGGAGCAUGGAAGCAGCAUUUACAAUAUGACCUAGAGAUUUGCGAAGUACAUACGGAUCUGAAUGUUGCAGACCCGUUGACUGAAACCUCUCUCACAAGCAAAACAUGAUCAAACCCCAGAACUCAUUGAGUCUUAAUCACAUGAUGAUGUGAACUAGUUUAAUGACACUAGUAAACUCUUUGGAUGUUGGUCACAUGGCGAUGUGACCUAUCAGUGUUAAUCACAUGGCGAUGUGAACUAGAUUAUUGACUCUAGUGCAAGUGGGAGACUGUUGGAAAUAUGCCCUAGAGGCAAUAAUAAAUUAGUUAUUAUUAUUAUAUUUCCUUGUUCAUGAUAAUCGUUUAUUAUCCAUGCUAUAAUUGUAUUGAUAGGAAACUCAUAUACAUGUGUGGGUACAUAGACAACAUCAUGUCCCUAGUAAGCCUCUAGUUGACUAGCUCGUUAAUCAAUAGAUGGUUACGGUUUCCUGACCAUGAACAUUGGAUGUCGUUGAUAACGGGAUCGCAUCAUUAGGAGAAUGAUGUGCUGGGCAAGACCCAAUCCUAAGCCUAGCACAAAGAUCGUGUAGUUCGUAUGCUAAAGCUUUUCUAAUGUCAAGUAUCAUUUCCUUAGACCAUGAGAUUGUGCAACUCCCGGAUACCGUAGGAAUGCUUUGGGUGUACCAAACGUCACAACGUAACUGGGUGGCUAUAAAGGUGCACUACGGGUAUCUCUGAAAGUGUCUGUUGGGUUGGCACGAAUCGAUACUGGGAUUUGUCACUCUGUGUAACGGAGAGGUAUCUCUGGGCCCACUCGGUAGGACAUCAUCAUAAUGUGCACAAUGUGAUCAAGGGGUUGAUCACGGGAUGAUGUGUUACGGAACGAGUAAAGAGACUUACCGGUAACGAGAUUGAACAAGGUAUCGGGAUACCGACGAUCGAAUCUCGGGAAAGUACAAUACCGCUAGACAAAGGGAAUUGAAUACGGGAUUGAUUAAAUCCUCGACAUCGUGGUUCAUCCGAUGAGAUCAUCAUGGAACAUAUGGGAGCCAACAUGGGUAUCCAGAUCGCGCUGUUGGUUAUUGGCCGGAGAGUUGUCUCGGUCAUGUCUACGUGUCUCCCGAACCCAUAGGGUCUACACACUUAAGGUUCGAUGACGCUAGGGUUAUAGGGAAUAGAUAUACGUGGUUACCGAAUGUUGUUCAGAGUCCUAGAUGAGAUCCCAGACAUCACGAGGAGUUCCGAAAUGGUCCGGAGGUAAAGAUUUAUAUAUGGAAAGUUGUUGUUCGGGUUCCGGGAAAAGUUCGGUUUUUUCUGGUAUUGUACCGGGAAGCUUCCAGAAGGUUCCGGAGGAUUUCGGAGGGGUCCGGAGGUCCGAAAAUUGUUCCACCACGUUCAAUACAGCAGCAUGGGCUGUAAGGGGGCGCCCUAGCCUUAAUGGGCCAGGGGCACCAGCCCCCCCAAGGCCCAUGCGCAUGGGAGAGGGGAAACCCUAAGGGGGACGGCCUCCACUUGACUUGGGAGGCACUCCUCCCCCCUUGGCCGCCGUCCCCAACCUUAGAUGGGAUCUAGGGGGGCCGGCCCCCUUCUCUCCCCACCUAUAAAUAGUGGAGGGGUGGGAGGGCAGCCGCACCCCAAGUUCUGGCGCAGCCCUCCCCCUCUCCCAAGUACUCCUCCUCUCCCGCAGUGCUUGGCGAAGCCCUGUAGGAUUGCCACGCUCCUCCACCACCACCACGCCGUCGUGUUGCUGCUGGACGGAGUCUUCCCCAACCUCUCCCUCUCUCCUUGCUGGAUCAAGGCAUGGGAGACGUCACCGGGCUGCAUGUGUGUUGAACGCGGAGGUGCCGUCAGUUCGGCACUAGGAUCUUCGGUGAUUUGGAUCACGACGAGUACGACUCCUUCAACCCCGUUCUCUUGAACGCUUCCACUUAGCGAUCUACAAGGGUAUGUAGUUGCACUCUCCUUUCUCUCGUUGCUAGUCUCUCCAUAGAUAGAUCUUGGUGACUCGUAGGAAAAUUUUGAAUUUCUGCUACGUUCCCCAAAAGUGUGGAGCACAUCCAUGUUGCGGCAACGAAGUUCUUCCCUCUGCUGCGAAGAGAGGAGUUCGGGAUGGUACUCCUCGUGAACGCGUGACGGAUUGCCGCCACCAUCCCCGCCGUCUUCAUGGCGGAAACCAGGCGGACUUCGUGGUCCAUCGACCAUCAAUACUUCAGCCGCAGGGUCGCUGCUAUCGUACUCGGAUGUGGUCUCGACGGAGCCAGUCGACAGAUCGAACAGGCAGUGGAGAGUUUCGUCGGGCUCGAUUGCCGCGACUUGAUGGGUGGCCGAAUGUCGAGCCACCGCGUGCUUCACCCACCGCUGAAGCCGCGACCGACCGGAUCGCUUGCGGCGGCGAACAGCGGGGAGAGAAGACACCAUCGAAGCCGACCGAUACUGGGUCAACGGCUGCCGGAGAAGGACGCCGCGAACGCACGUGCGAAAGUGUGUUGCCCCUCAGACGGGGAGCGCCUCGACAUCAAGGGGAGCUUCAUGAAGCCAAGCAGAGUCGUCGGCGAUGAAAAUGAGCGCGCCGAGACGGAUCUCGCGGCCCUCAGCCAUUCCACCGCCGGAAACCAUGAUGAUGGGGAUCGAAAAAAUUGCAACUUCACCAACAAGUCGCUAAGACACCUGCCCCACGGUGGGCGCCAACUGUCGUGGUUUUAAGACUGACAGUAGAAAGGGGGGUAGGUAUAGAGAGGCAAGAUCCCAGCUAUGGUGAAGGUGUACACACAGGAUUUACGAGUUCAGGCCCUUCGCGGAGGAAGUAAUAGCCCUAUGUCUCGGUGCCCGGAGGCGGUCGACUGGAUUAUAUGUGUGUGAUGUUACAGGGGGUGCCAACCCUUGUCUUAGAGGAGGGGGGUGGCUUAUAUAGAGUGCGCCAGGACCCCAGCCAUCCUCCAUUACAAGGGACUUAAUGUACAUAAAGUAGGGGCGUUACUGAUAACGCCAGCCUUAAGAGUUAUUAAUGAUCUUAAAGACUACGGAGUGAAUGUCCGACCGUUGCAGUGCUGAGUGACUCCUGGCCUUCAGUAGGUCGAGUGAUUCUUCAUAUGGUUGAGUGACAACAGGCAGGGGGACACCUGAGUGAUAUGACUGGUCGAGUGGAUUGCACUCGACAUCUUUGACUGGGGGUUCUUCGCUGCCUCUUGAACUUCUUAUCUUCUAGGGUAGUGACCUUGGGUAGGACGUAUAGGUCAGGCCUAUGACCCUACCCCAAGUAUGUAUCCUCAUCAGCGGCGGUCCGGAGGUCCUGGUUUGCGUCAGGUUUGCAAGAGUUCGGAUGCCCGGACGCGUCUACGGAUAAUAGGGUUUCAUGUUGAAUGCUAAACUACGUCCGGACAGCUUGGUUUGAACGUUUGUGGGCUAUUUGAGGGUCCGCUUGAAGAUGCCCUUACAUACAAUAUUUUCAUUUGAACCGUUUGCAACACAUUUCUUUUUGUAGCUCAUUCAUAUUUCUUAUUUAGGUUGCUUUAUUUCUGUUUUUCACAUAUUUACCGUAUAAGGUUUGAAUGAUGGAGGCCAUUAGGUGCACAUUUAUGAUUAUUGAGAAAAAAAUCAGUAUGCACCAUGCAAGAUGCAAAUACUUCGCAUUUUUGUUGCAUUGCUGGUGUAUAGUUCAAAAUACAGAGAAAGUUAAAGCUAAUAUGAAUAUUGAGAAAACAUUACUGUAGUUUUUGGUGAAUGGUAAGGAUCUUAAUGUGUGGCAAUGGAAAACUAGCAAUAUUGUCGGCAGUGGAGGAGCUAGGUAAAAUNNNNNNNNNNNNNNNNNNNNNNNNNNNNNNNNNNNNNNNNNNNNNNNNNNNNNNNNNNNNNNNNNNNNNNNNNNNNNNNNNNNNNNNNNNNNNNNNNNNNNNNNNNNNNNNNNNNNNNNNNNNNNNNNNNNNNNNNNNNNNNNNNNNNNNNNNNNNNNNNNNNNNNNNNNNNNNNNNNNNNNNNNNNNNNNNNNNNNNNNNNNNNNNNNNNNNNNNNNNNNNNNNNNNNNNNNNNNNNNNNNNNNACAACAUAGCUCCGCCGCUGAUUGUCGGCACGCCAUACAAAAUAAUAGAGUCCACAUACUGCUUUCUAGCAUUAUCUCUUCCCCUUCUCCUCGUCCACUGGCGUCUUCCAUUAGUAACAAAAGAUGUAAAUAUUUAUGUGAUCCACUUAAGUCUCGUGGACUCUUCUUCCACUCGGCACAUCAAUGCCCGUAUUGCAAUUUCAUUUUUAGAAUUUUGGAAUGUCAUGCCUCUGUCGUUUGUUCAUUUUCUAAUUACGUUUUCUUCUAAUUACCUCUAUCAUUUGGUCAUCUCAGGCAUUAUAAAUACCAUUGUAUAUUCAUAGAAAAUUUGCUAAAACAUUCUCUUGUACUCACUUUUUCAUAGCUCGUUCAUCGAAACUGACUUAAACUUGACAUAUUUUUUGCUCACAAAUCUUUAAAGUCAAUUCCAAACACAUGAACCAAAAUAUACAUAGUAGGUAAAGUACAUGGUUGGAAUCAUAGAUUUUGAAUGUUUAUUCUAUUUUCCAUCUGUUUUCAAUUGUUCUUUCAAGUUAACAUAACUGACAUGAGGCUUACAGCUGCACUCUCCGAACUGAUAGCUGUGUCAUUUCAACAGUUCAUCAUGUAAGUUUUGUUUACAAACAUACGGCCAUACACAUUGCCCUUAUUUUUGCAAUCCGAGGGCCUGAUUGCUACUCCCUCCGUUCCAAAAUAGAUGACUCGACUUUGUAUUAAUUUAUUUUGGAACGGAGGGAGUAGAUCGCAUUAUUUUCCAUGUUGUAUCUUUUGGAGGAGCUCUAGAUCACCUACUGUUAUUGUACCAACCUCUGAUUAAUCACAUUCUUGCUUCUCUGUAGAUUCAUGUCCAACAAUCAGCCACAACCUUUGAUCUGAAAUUGAUCCUCCUUAGAAGAGCUGUCAGCCUAUUGCAUCAUCGGUUAAAAAAGGCAGCUAAAUGAUAGGACGUGUCGCAACUUGCAUAUUUUGUCGGAAAUCGUUCAAACCUGGCAUGGAUCCUUACCACGGGCAUGGCCCCUGCCUACAAAAGUUUGGGUCAUUUAAAUUUUUUCAAAACUAGACCAUGUUCAAUGGAGGGUGCACCCGGAUGGGCAUGCCCAUGGUAGGCAACCAUGCUAGGUUUAACAAUUUCCGACACCAUAUGUAAGUUGCGACAUGUUCGACCAUUUUAUCGGUCUUCUUUUACUAAGAAAACUUCAGAAAAUGCAGAACUUGUCAAAAACCAAAUCAACUUGGCAUGGUGCCCUGAAUUGCUCAUAAAAGGCCAUGGGAAAAAUUAGGUCCAUUACUUCUUCUUUUUUGCUGGGGAAAUUGGGACCAUUUCAAAGAUAUUGAAAAAUAAUGUGCUCUCAGAAGAAUCAUUCUGACCUUACCGAAUAAUCUCCGUUAAACAUGGUGUUUUUUGGACAUCCUUGAAAUGACCCCAACUAAUAAAUACAAAGGGAUAAAAUUGAAAACCGUAAGUAUUUUUUAAAAGCAUUUAAUAAAAAAAUAGAAAAAAUAAUUUGGAACCAUUAGUUUAAAAAGUUAGUUAAAACAUGUAUUUUGGUAUUAAAAAAAGAGAAAAGUGAAUUAGUAAAAUAAGAAAUGAAAUGAAAAAGAUAGAAAAGAAAAUAGAACGCUUAGGCCUUGGCCUAACUAGGCGACGACAUUGCUCUCGUCGGGCGCGUGUGGGCCCGGUCCAAGAGCUCACAUAUUUGAAAAAAGUUCAUCAAUUUUUUUACAAAAUAUUCAUGGAUCUGAAAAUUUUCAAAAAAAAGUUCACUAAGGAAAUUUGCCAAAAGGUUUUCUCGGUUUUGGGAACCUUGGCUUCCCAGCCAUUUUUUCCGGCUUUGGGACAUUCUCGAAGGUCGUGAACCGUGUUUUUUCUUUUUCUCUUUUUAUAUUCUCUCUUGUUCAUUUUUUGUCUUCUUUGACUUUUCGUUUAUUCUGUUUAUUGUUUCUAUUUCUCAUAAAUUAAAUUUUUUCGGAAUUCAUUUUUUUUUUCAUAUUCUUCUGGAAUUCCAAAUUCGCUACUGUUUUUUUAAAAAAUGUACAUGUUUUAAAUUUUUGUUAUUUUAUAAAAAAAAUGUUUGUGUUUUGACAUUCUGAGCAAGUUUGAAAGGCAUGACAUUUUUUUUGAAAUUUAUGCACAAUUUUAAAAAACAAACAUUAGUCUUUUAUGAACAAAACAGGAAAACUAGAAACCGUAACAAAAACCGUGCAAAAAAACAUAAACCAAAGAGUGAAGGUGUUGUGUUUUUUUUUCUUGGCGUUGUGUCUCUCGAACAAGAAGAAGAAAACAAGGUUAGUAAGCAUAUUAGAUGUGCUAGCCCAGAUGGUUUGUGCGGUUACAUGUAGUGCGUGAGUGCUGUAGUUCGAAUCCAGCCGACGACAUCCAUUUUUUAAUGAUUAAAACUAAAAAAGCUAAAUGGGCUGAGCCCAUGUGGGAGGGCUGUUCGCCGGGUAUUAUACGAACCUACAACGUAUACGUAGAAAAGUGUCCAUACUAUUCUUUAUACGUUUUGUGAGGGGGGGUGUACCGAAGCAUUGCUGACUCGAUAAAUGUGUCUUGCUACAUACAUACGCACUGCAUUAGACAAGAAAGAACAUAGUGCCAAACACAUGACACAAAGUUCCUUUGUACACCUGUACAAAUACAAUAACGAAUGUCUAGAAAUGAAAACGGGGAAAACAAAAAACAGCAUGUGCUAGUAUCUUGCUUGAUCAGACUGACCUACAAUUAUCGCCUUUAAGAAAAAAAAUACUCCUAUUACUUUCCAUCCACUAACCUUGGAAGAAGGAAAGGAAGACUCAUGCAGUAUGCUGGUCAUAACAUCCAAGGCUCUCAUCCGGAUCACGCGGCACUUCUCGAGCCCAUGAGGGUCACACAGGCUGAAGGUGACGACUGACGAGCUUCUUCUUUCUCUUGAUCCAAUCGCACAACUUCUUGGCCUCCUUUGCCAUACCCUUGAAUCGAAUCCAAGACAUUCAUCUUUUGCAACCAGUACGUGCCACUAUGAAUAGUCCGGCAAUUCACAGAAAAGAAAUGGAUAGACAUAUACUCCCUCUGUAAACUAAUAUAAAAGUUUUUAGAUUACUAAACUAGUGAUCUAAACACUCUUAUAUUAGUUUACAGAGGGAGUACUUGUUAAAAUUCAGCGCAUUUUGGAAGGCAGGCACGUACCACCAUUGCAGCAGCGGGGGCAAUAGACUGCUGUCCUUUGAGGUUGUUGGCAAGGCCCAAGGCGCACGUGCGGAUCAUGCUGCUAUGCUGGAUUAUGUCGUCAAAAGGCGCCGCGCCAUGCUUCAGCAGCUCACACAUCAGGUCAGCCUCUCUGAUGAUACACUUGAAGCCAAUUUUUUUGCAUCAGUCAAAAGACCACAGAAAGAAUCGAACGAAAUACGCUAAGAUUGAGAGGGAUAGCAUUCCAGUGGUAACAUACAAAAAUAAAUAAUUUGCUUUGUUCAGGCAAGGAAGGCACAUACCACAAGAGCAACGGCAGUAGGAACACACAAUUCACCCCCUGCGCCGUAGAUUGAAAGUGCAAACUGCUUGAUAAGGCUACUCUGAAUGGUAGUGCUGAUUGGUAAAGUGGCAUCCAAGCUACGUUCCACUCGAGUCUUCCACUUGGACAGGAGUUCCUCCUCCGUCUUGAUACACUACUUGAAAAAAAACGCCAAUUUGAAAUAUGUCGGCGCAAAAAGUUUCAGUUAGGUAACUGAUGGUUACUUACCAAUUUGGCAACAGCAGUACCCAUGUCAGCAGCAGCGGUGAUUUGCGAAUCCCCGGGAGUUUCGUUUGCAGCAGCAGCAUCGGCGACCAACUCAUGAGCAUUGCAGUUAUAGUACUCCUCAAGGUAGCUGCUAUAGUAAGACCACUUAAUGGAAUCGAGCAGUGGUAGCAGCCUUUCCCACCCCCAUAGUUUCUCAAAAAGAUCUUCUGAAACAAAACAUUACCCAAUUCUUUUUUACAUACGAAGCGUAUUGCAAGGGAAAUGUGAAGAGCCCAUAAUAACCAUAAUUGUGGUGAUUAGCUUGUCUGUUACCUUCUUUCCUCUUCUCACUCUUUUCACCACCUUUAAUAUUUUUCUUAUACUGAGAAUUCAACACAUCUGGAAUGCCGCCCCUGGUGAUCAUACAGUGAAAUGGUAUAGCAUUACCAUCACAAUGCUUCUUACCAUCAAGAAGUAACAAACUAAUUCUCUUCAACCACCUAUAGCUGCAUCAAGAAGGAAGAAACAAAUGGAACAUCCAUACUAGAUGUCAGCAGCAACUGCGAUUUGCAAAUCCUGGGGAGUUUGGUUGGCAGCAGCAGCAGCAUCGGCAAUGAACCCGUAAGCAUUGCGUUUGUAGUACUCCUCAAGAUAGCUGCUAUAGUCAGACCACUUAACGGAACCGUAUAGUGGCAGCAGCCUUUCCCACCCCAUAGUUUCCCAAAAAGAUCUUCCAAAACAAAACAUUACCCAAAAAACAUUACAUAUGAAGGAUAUUGCAAGGGAAAUAUGAAGAGCCCUUAUAGUAACCAAAAUUGUGGUGAUUAGCUUCUCUGUUACCUUCUUUCCUUUCUCACUCUUUUCACCACCUUUAAUACUUUUCUUAUACUGAGAAUUCAAUACAUCUGAAAUGCCGCCCCUGGUGAUCGUACAGUGAAAUGGUAUAUAGUAUCACAGUGCUUAUUAUCAAGAAAAAACAGAUAAAUUCUCUUAAACCACAUAUAGCUGCAUCACGAAGAAGAAACACCCAUACCCUGUGAUGUUUGCUGCUCCAGCAGCAGCAAUGCCGUCCCCGUCACCACCAGGACCAUUUCUACUAGCAGGUUCUUCUUUAUCAAUCUUGUGCCCAGCAACAGCAGAAGACUCUUCUAGUCUGUCAAUCAUAGCAUUAAAAGUUUGGUACCGGAUCCUGCGGCUGUCCUCAAUCUCAUCAGGUACGGAAUAAUGACAUAAAUCAACAGGCUUGUUAUUUUCACUUAUCCACGCACAUAUAAUUCCGGUCUCCUUGGCAAUACCCUUAAAUUGAAGCAGCCCAUCAGUUUGCAGUUAGUGCCCAUAAUUAAGCUACUAGUAGUAAAAACAAAAUUGUGCAAAGUGCAGUUCAUAACGCUCAAGAAUGGAUGGAUGAUAAUGUUAUGUUCGACAGAUGGCCCGCAAGGCUCAUACAUAGGUGAUCAUCAAUUUGACAGAUGGAUGGGUGGUAAUAUUAGGUGGGUUUUUGAAGGCAGGCAGGCACGUACCAACAUGGCAGCGGAUGCGGCAACAGAAUUGUCCGAGGUGCAGUUCAUAAGGCUCAAGGCACAAGUGCGUAUCUCUCUGCUCUGGUCGAUUAAGUAAUCAUCAACCGGAUCAUUGCCACACCUCAACAACACAUGCGUCAGGUCAGCUUCCUUUGCAAUACACUUGAAACCAUCGUUUUGCAUUAGUACAAUGAAAAUAAAGUCAAUCAAAAUAAUCCAUAUCCAAUCCAACUCGCCAAGGCGAAUUUGGGUGCCAAUUUAUCCUUUAUAUAGGAACAAAGCUGCCAAGUUCCUCCCAUAUAUACUCCAUGCGUAAAGAAAUACAAGAGCGUCUAGAUCACUAAAAUAGUAGUGAUCUAAACGUUCUUAUAUUUCUUUACGGAUAGAGUAAGUAUUAACUAGUCUCUCUCCCCUCUAAACAGGAUGUUACCUCCCUUUCCAUUUAAAAUGAUUGUCCAAGUCAGUAAAAAUUACUCCCUUUACGUUUUUGACACUACACUAAUGUAAAAAUCAUUCUUAUAUUAUGGGACACAGGGAGUACUAGGUAAUUAGGAUGCAGAGAAAGGAGUGCUUAACAUUUAAUGAUGAAAUGAUCCGAGAAGGGCAUCCCCCCCUCCCCCGCGCCGCCCUCCUCUGGCGACACGGGGGCGCCCCUGUCGUGCCGCCGCUCCUCUCCCUCCCUCACACCCUGUCUCGCCGCCACCUGAGGAGGCCGCUGGCAAAGGCCGCGCGCGCUCCGGGGAAGGUGGUGGCGAGGCGCUUCUCCUGCUCCGCGCGUCCGUUUCGUCAGAGGAGGGGCAAUGGGAUGCGUCAGAUUGGAUCGGGAGGCCGGCCUCGGAGGCGGACGGAGGCGCCGCUCGUCGGCGUCGUCUCGGAGUCCCUGCCGGCCAGUCCCGACCCCCCUAUGUGCAGCGCCUCGUCGCUGCUUGCUCGGGCGCUGACUGGUCAGGGGCGGGGGCGGAUCUGGGGCUCCCUUCCCAGAUCCGGACGGUAUUGGCUGGGGCGCGAGGUUGUGGCGGGCGGCAGGUGUGGUUGGGUGUGUGCGAUCUGGGCGCCGGCCGCGGCGGCGUCGGAAGGGUGGUCGUGGUGGAGCAGCGCAUGACGGUGCUGGCCUGGUGCUCGUUUGGCUGCGUAGUUGGGCCGUCUAGGUCCGGCGCUGUCCAGAUCUGCCAUCCUCGGCCGCUGGGUCGGCAAGGACUCUGCUCCUGACGAUGAGCUACAUGCGUGGAGGUGUCUCCGUCCGGUGGCGUGGUGGCGGCUCGCUGCUGGCUGCAUGGCGGUGCGUGGCUGGGAGAUGGAGGUUGCUGCCGGUGGCGGUGCUUGGUGGGGCGCUCAUGGCGCCCAGUGCAUCCUGUGGCUGCUGGUGCUGCCAUGAGGCGCGGGCGAUGGUGCGGUGUGCCAUUAAUAAUCUAAUCACAGGGUGUGUGAAUGCUCAACUCGGUGAAAGCCAUGCUCUGUCCAGAGCCGACGACAGUGACGCCCGUGGGCGCCACUACCCUUCCUGGAGGCGUCAUCAAAAUGUUGAUUUCACCACCCUUUGCCCGACCUAGGAGGAAACUCUGCUUCCAGGUCUACCUGGAACUGAUGAUGGCGGCGCAACCGUGCGCCGCGCCCCUUCUUGAAGGUAUCAUCGAGAAGUUGGCUAGGUUGUUUUGUUGGUUAGCUGCAAGCAGUGGGGUUGUCGGUGGUGGUGGUGUGACUGGUUUGGGGUAAUGGUGGUGCGUGUCGGGGUCUGGCAACAACACUCCUCCGUGCUGUGGAGCGGCCAUCUCUACCCCGUAUGCAUGUCCUUGGUGGUGUUCUGUAGGGAUUUGGCGGCGGUGCCUUUGUGUCGUCCCUCUUGCUGUGCAAGCUCAAGACCUUCUCAUGGCUACCGUUGUGUUGAUGCGAGCUUCGUGCUCUUGGUGUUGCUUUGGUCAUCUUUGCUCAAUGCCGCGCAAAUAGCCUCCCCAACUUGCUAAUCGUCCUGAACUUCAUUAGCGGAGCUCGUAGUCAAGGUUCGUACGUGGCACUCGUUGACUAUGGUGCUCCUGUGUUGCGCCGUGGGUUCGGUAUGCAUGCCAGUGCGGUGCGUUAGGUUCCUUGCAAAGUCUUGGUAUUGUGUCCCUCGACAUUACCCCACAACUACUUGUGUCUUUUAUGGUGUUGGUCUUGUUAAUCUGCUAGCUAUGUCCUGCCUUUGGUGGGCGCCCUACUCUUCUCAUCUUCUAGUAACCUUGUUACUUGUACGGUUUUUGGCCCGGUUUUUCUUAUAAACGGAGCCAAAUUGUUUAGGUUUUCGAUUUGGUUUUCCUUAUAAACCGGAUCACUCUCUGGCAUAAUAGCCACUUUGAGCAAUAUAUUCAGGUGGAGGGACUCCUCCCCCGGUGAUUCUCAAAAAAAUAAUAAUAAUUAUGAAAUGAUCAAAGACAAGAUAAUUGUUUGGUGUGUUCUUAUGGAACGUACCAACAAAGCCGAACCGUGCAGAUUGGAAAAGCCACGACCUGCUGCGUGGACGACUGAACGUGCACGCUCGUGGAUCAGGCAACUCAGAAGGGUCGAUUUCCUCAUCGGCAGGAUAACAUCCUUUUGAGAUUUCAUCUGGGUCUUCCACUCGGACACAAGCUGCUCCUCACUGAUGAGACACUGCUUGAAAAACCAUAAAAAUUAAAAAGAAGCAGGAUAUGUAUAAUUGGUGGCAGGAGGUUUAUUUUGCUUACAGUCUGAGCUAGAGCAGCUAUGCUGCUAACAGCAUCGACAUUCCGACGGCGAUACUCCUCGAGGUAGGCACUGUAGUCGGACCACGACAAGGCGGAAUCCCCGAUGGAUAGCAGUCUGUCCCAUCCCCAUAGUUUCUCCAAGAGAUCUUUCGUCGAUCCAACAAGUGAAACAACAUAAUUAAGUAAGAUUCCAGCACUGACGAACAAAGGAAGAAGCAUGUUACUGUAGAUGGCAAUGCAAGCAAUGGAUGCUGGAGUUUGGUUCCUAGAUAGAGUUGAACCAUGGUACUUGACGAUAUGUGCGCUCGGCAUCUCCUUUGUGACUGUGCCGGACCUCUCCAUGUCUUGGAUGAGACCGGUGAAGUACUCCCUGUCCUCUGCCUCUUCUUCCCUGCGCGCGGCCUCCAUCCGCAUCUUGUUGGCCAUGUCCUCGAAACGCCUGCUCUUGGCCUCCAUCUGAUCGGCCUGCUUCUUCGUCGCGGUGUCGCCGAAAUGCGCGCAGCUGAAGGGGUGCUCUGAUCGUGCCCCAGCCGGGUCCAAACUCCAAAGUUACGGCGUCGCCGACAGAGCAGUCACCAAGGACGGAGAUCACGGCCGGAGAGGCGGCUAGUACUACUUUACUAUACUAUCUCGUCUCGUCUGCGGGGAUGCAAAGGCGCAUGCAGUCGAGUUUGUUGGACGUGCCGCGGAAAUCAGACCUGAUGCGGGGGAGGGGAGAACGCCCGGCCGAACGGGUAGCGAGGGAAAACGAAGCCUUCACUUUCCAUUUGCAUGGCAAAGUCAAAAUCUGGUCAAAUCAGUCUUAAAAGAUCUUCUUGAAUCAUCACCACGAUCAGUACCGAGGCAUCGUCGUCCCAUCCGUAGUGUUAAUUAACCGAGACUUCUUGGGAAACAACGGAAAGGCCCUUAAAAUCCCACUCUAAACCCCCAAAACCAGCAGAUCCACUCCUGUCCGGUGACCCCUGUCAUUCCAAAACUCCCAGCCUUCCUUUCCUUCCCUCAACAGCUCGCGGCCAUGGCGAACGCCGCGCAGCGGCCAUGCAGCAUCUGCAUGGAGCCCAUGGCGCCCUCGGAGGCCCACCGCGGCGGGAGCGCCUGCGCGCACGCCUUCUGCGGGGCGUGCCUGACGGGCCACGUCCGCGCGAAGCUCGAGUCCGGCCGCGCCGGCGCCGUGGGGUGCCUCGACGCGGCGUGCGCCGGAAAGCUCGACCCGGAGCUCUGCCGCGCCGCGCUCCCGCGCGACCUGUUCGAGCGGUGGUGCGCCGCGCUGUGCGAGUCCAUGUUCGCCGGCGCGCGGCGGACCUACUGCCCGUUCCCGGACUGCUCCGAGAUGAUGGUGGCUGACGGCGACGGCGACACCGUGACGCAGUCCGAGUGCCAGGUAUGCAGGCGGCUGUUCUGCGCCCAAUGCCGCGUGCCGUGGCACGCCGGCGUCGACUGCGCCGCGUACAGGCACCGGGACACGGCCAGGGAGGAUGCGAUGCUGAUGGAGAUGGCCGCGGGGAGGAAGUGGAGGAGGUGCUCCAAGUGCCAGUUCUUCGUGGAGAAGACCGACGGCUGCUUGCACAUCACAUGCAGGUAAUUAAAUCUUCUUGCGAAAUUCUAUGAAGAUGAUUUUUGUUGCAUCAAAAUUGAUCGAGAUGGUGGUAAAAUUAAUUGGCAGGUGCGGCUACCAGUUCUGCUACGGGUGUGGCUCGCAGUGGGCUACGUCUUGUUCCGGCGGCUGCACCAAUUAGGCCAUAUAUGUAUAUCCUGAGAUUAUAUCAAUGCUCAGAUGCAUGGAAGGAUGAUUAUCAUGUUGUCGGGAUAUUUGUGGCCAGUUUGCGAAUUGGUUGAGGAUGAUAUUUUGAUUGAGGAUGAUAACACUAAGCUAGUAAGAGGUGGUCUUAAUUAUUUGGCCAUGAUCGAGGAAAUGAAAUGAUCCAUGCUUUAGCCAGUUUAUGGAUUUGUUAGUCGUUGCUAUGUGUCACAGUGAUUGUUUGCUGAAUGCGUUAUAAUGUUGUAGCUUAUCAGAUGAUAUAACUAAUUAUGUCAGCUCUACUAACCUAUACAAUAAUCAAAUGCAACAAACCGUAUGUAUUUCCAAUAUCAGUUCUCAUAUUAUUAAUCCAAGUGUUCAUGUUUCAUACAAUCAAAUUUUCUUGAAUAUUGCAACCAAUUCAUGUACCAACGUGCAAGGUAUAAUCUAGUUUCUUGAAACGGUGCACCUACUUUCUGAUAAAAGAUUAAAUCAAGUGAGAUAUAUGGGAUACACAUAUUUUAAUGAUAGUACAUGGUCCAUCCUCUUACUCUGGUGGUUGGCUGCCGGUGCCUCUUCGCGCGUUGUAUUGUGUUGCUCCACACUUCGCCGCUCGAGGAAGCACAAUAUGUAGCAUAGGCGUCGAUCUGUCAUGGUCCCUACCUUUCUCUCCCUUCUCUCAUUCGUCUGGUCGGUGAUGCACCCCCCCCCCUCUCUCUCUUUGCUCACCACCAAUCAUGUAUCCUACAUAGCUAGAUUGACCCGGUGGAAUCAUGCAUGAGACAACCGUGGAUAAGAGCGAGAACCUCGUUCGCUUGAACCAGAGCAGACGAGGAGGAUUUGGGGAUCAGUUGGUUAUCUUUUUGUUGCUUGAUGAAAUCUGUUUUGUUGAACUUGCAGCAGCUUAUUCAAUAAAGUUGAAAUGGAAUUACGCCUACAAGUAGCAAAAGUCAUUUAUGAUCACACAACCCAAAUAAAUAGAUAAUAAACUUUGCCAUCACAUGCUUGAUGAGCUUCUUCUUUUGCUUGCUUAAGCCUUGCAAACUUGCAGUAAUAUGAUUGGAGACUUGAAGUGAGUGGCAAGAGAUAGCAAAUAAAUUAUAGAAUAAUGUCAAAUCUUGGCAUAGCUCAUGUGAGGUUUGUGAUUAACUGAAACACUUCAAGCAUGAAGCAUGUAUACCUCAAAAAAUUAGUACAAUGGCAAGGUAGAGACAUGUUGACACUUGAUGCAUGAUUCAUCAUAAUAUUGCAAUGAGUUCAGAACUCACGAGAUAAAACUACAUGUGAGUUCACAUCUUGCAUAAGUGAUAUUUGUAGCCUCCUCUUUGGAGUCGUCUUCUUUGCUAAAGCUGCAGUGGGUAUCCUCUCUAGACUAGUUCUAGUUUGUGAUGAAAUACUUCUCCGAGAAAGAAAGCAAGGAGGAUGCACAUAUACAUGCUAUCAAAUUUAUAUAAGUAUUUUGUUUCUCAUUUUUUUACAUUGUCGAACAUGUAACUAUUUGUUGUUUACCUUCUAGCGAAUACGCCCGGAUUGUCGUGUAGUAUUUGUUCUCUACCUAGCUUUUGCGGGUUGCUAGAUUCACCUAUCAUAGCUUUUGUAUUGCUCUUUAUAGGUUUUCUAUUCUUAAAAUUAAAGAAAACAAGCUUUAUUUUUUGGCAUGAGGUGAUAAUUUAAGCUUUGAACGAAAAAAAUGACAAUUGCCUUCUCUUGGUUCUAAGUGAGCACUUGUAACUAGCUUGCCUAUGACCCUUUGUGCCACAUUUCUUGCAAGUCACUAGGCCUCUAAUCAUUUUCUUCACCUUGCAUUUGUGGGAGUAGUGCUACCAUUCUUGGAACCUUUCUUCAUGUGGCCACCUUCAAGGCAAUCCUUUAAUCCUCAUUUUUCUUUAUCUUCUUUUAUUUCUAGUCUUAAGUAUUGUCACCACAACAAAUGGAAGCUCCAACCAUGACCACUAUGAUUUUUUCUAUCGCUGGCUCAAUCUAUCUCCCAUAAGAGCCUUGAAAUUAUCCACAAAGUAGUACUAAUGCACAAAACUGUUCAAGGCAUUUUUGUGAGCUAGUUCAGCAACAUGCAAGUCCUCAAAGUCUCUGCUCAAGUUGUAGAAAACUCUCGAUAUAUUAUUAGUGAUGUAGUCACACUUGAUUCCCGGAAUGAAGACAUACCUUAUCGAUUUGAGAGUGAUAUCGACUUAAUCAAAGUCAUACCUCAUUUGAUUCUCCAAUAGUUGUGUCCAUAAGUUACGUGAACACGUCUUUCAUAUAAGCCAUUGCGGCAGAAAACGUCCUUCUGAAACCCCGGGACCUCUUUGCAAAAUUAUUCAUAAGGUGAAAAAACAUUCCCCUUGUUCAACAUUAUAAAAUAUAUUCUUCAUUGCAUUCUAUAAGCCUUUGCAAGCAUUUUUAAGUUGAUCCAUAAACCAAGUUCGAUUGUGUUCAGUAUCAGAAGCUAUAAACAAUAGGCAAGUGGAUACAUCCAAUUGUGGCCAUCAAUUACCCUCAGCUACAAAAAUCCAACUCUACUUCCAAAGGCUUAGAGAAUGCGGUGGAGAAUGUAUUUCCCAAUGCUGAAUAAAGGGAAUGUUUUCCCAUGUUAUGGGGAAUUUUGUGAAAUGGUUCCGUGUGUUUGGAAGGGUGUAUCUUGUGGCAUGGGCUUAUAUGGGAGAGGUGUUCACAGAACAUAUGGAAGCAAUUAUUUGAUAAUAAAAUGGGGUAUGGCUUUUGUUAAGUUAGUGCAUACUCUCAAGUGGGCGAGGUGUGUCUUCAAUCCAGACAUUAAGUGUGAGCUCAUCUCUAGUAACAUAGGAGGGGUUUCCAACAACUGGUUCAGAGAUAUUACGAACUUAUUGCUGAACUAGCCGACACGAUUAGAGGGAUGAUCAUGGGUCUCUAGAGGACAAGGAGAAGGCUUGGAGGAAGACUGCCAUUUGGACCGAUCCUACUUAUGGGGAAGAGGGAAAAUACUAGAGGUUUGGGGAACUUGAAAGUUGUGAAAUCUGUUAACUAGAGUGUAGAGAUUUGAUAAAAUAUCAAAACUUAUUGAAAGGCAUAUUGUGAAGCUCAAUCAUAAGAUGUGUAGUUUUGCCUUGAAGGGCAGAACACAUACAAGCAAUGUCAACAUGUCUUGCCUUUGUGUCAUCAUAAAAGGGAGUAGAUCUUGAACAGUUUAUGCAUAUGUGUACUAUGUGGGCAGAUUCAAGGAUGUUAUAUGGGAGAGAGAUUGAGCCAAUGAUAGAGAAAUCACAAUGGCCACGAGUGGAUCUAUCAUUUGAUGUGGUGCCACCACUUCAAAAUAGAAAUAAAGAAGGACAAAAAAUGGAGGAUUCAAAGGAUGUGUUAAGGAGGUCACAAGGUGUCACUGAUGAUAGCACUGGUCCCACAAAUGCCAAGGGGAAGAAAAUGAUUAGAUGCCUAGUGAUUUGCAAGAAAUUUGGUUAAAAGUAUCAUAGGCAAGCUAGUUACAAGUGUCCACUUAAUUGAACCCAAAAAGACAAUUGGCAUUCUUUCAUUCAAAGCUUGAAUUAUCACCUCAUGACAAAAGUUUAUUGUUUAAUUCAAGAAAGAGGAAGCCUAAAAGGAACAAUACAUAAGGUAUGCAAGGUGAACCGAACACCCCACAAAGGCCAACUAGAGAACAAAUACUACGGGACAGUUAAGCCAUGCAUUAGAAGGCAAUCAACGAAUAGUUAUAUGUUUAGCAAUGUAAAAAACAAAACAAUUUUCUUAUAUAUAAAUGCCAUAACAUAUAUGUGCAAUUGCCUUGCUUUAUUGCUAACAGAGGGUAUUUAUUCACAAACCAGCAUAACUACUCCAGAGAGGAUACUAGUUGCAGCUCUAGCAAAGAAGAUGGCUACAAAGAGGAAGCUACCAAUUGGAUGACAAAUCUCCAUUAAAUUUACUAUUCAAGCUGUGCAUCCACAUGGGCUGCUCUUUUAAGCGUUAUCUUCAGUUGCCUAUAAAAAUGCAAAAGUACAUCACCUAUUGGUAUAUUUUUUACCAAUAUUACUUGGUAUCAAGGUUACGUGAAAUCCUUGAAAUCGAAUUGGGAUAUAUGAGACGGCCUCCACGCUCACGAUACAUAUUAUAAAUUAGAAAGUAGUAUCAAAGCCUAAGUAUACUAAAACGCCAUGAUCCACAAGAACCUUGGAUCGACAAUAUUUGUGAGACGACACUAAGAAACCAUAUGUGUUUCCGAAUGAUGAUAAGCAUCCUACUGAUUUUGCAACAUGCUAGACAAAAAACAAUUUGAAUUGAAGAAUUCCACCAUACCUCCUUGCUUUCUCCUUCCACAAACAUAAGACUUCCAAUGCAUCGGCAUGUACCUCUUGCAUGGAUAUAACACCUGUUGAUUUGUUAAAUCUGGAAAAGCUAUUGAACUUCAUUCUUGUGCACAAUUAAACGCCAUGUCUAACAAAUGUUGACUUCCACCUGCCAAAACAAUGGUUUAAACUAUAGUAAACAUACAAUCUGUCAUAUGUACCUCAGUACUCGAGUUUCUACAUGAAUGUAUAGCUUAUUGUGUUGAAAAUCUACAAAGAUAGACUAGUGUAAUCGGAAAUCCAACUCGGUGCCGAGGCUCAUCUGCUCCCGCUCAGAAAAAAAUCAAAACAAAUACUAGAGAAAUUCAAAAACAUCCAAAUUUUUUGUGUGUGGUAGAUAAUUUGAUUCGUGAGGUCGGCUUCAAAUUUCAACUCAUUUGGACAUCUGAGUAGCUCUCGGCAAAAAAGACCAAUUGCGUCAGAACAGUGCGUGAAUAGUAAACUUUUUUACAGACCUUGAAUUUGUCUUUUUUUUCCGAGAGCUUCUCAGAUGUCCAAAUGAGUUGAAAUUUGGAGCAGACCUCACGCAUCAAAUUAUCUAGCACACAAAAAAAUGGAUUUUUUUUGAAUUUUUCUAGUAUUUGUUUUGAUUUUUUUCUAAGAGUGGGUGCAGAUGAGCCGGGAGCAGAAACUCCGCGUCCGUGUUGCAUAGAGGCUCUUUAUCCGAACUACAUUUGCUAGCACCAAAAGAUAAGAAAUGGUCGUGAACUAAAUAAAUAUGAAAGUGGUUAAUUGAAAAUACCACACUACUAUGGCACCAAUUCUUUGAAACCGUGAUAUGCAUAUAAAAUGGCAUUUGGUGCAUCUUAGCUAAUAAUAGUACAUGUGUUGAGUCUGUAAAAAUAAUUAAGAAGUUUUGAAGAUGUAAUGUAAGGUUUGGUAACCGCAGCCCAUAUUUACAUUUAGAGGGAUAUGCAAAACUUGAAAAAGGAAAAUGGAAGACACUAUUAUAGAAGUACAGAGUGUCCAUUGCUAACCUCCAACUUUUGUCAUAUCCGAAUCAGAUCACCACUACAAUGACUUCAAAGCAUUUUCAAUUUGAAACCGUACACCAAAAUAUUUCAGCUAGUACAAUGGAGAAUUUCCAAUUCCUAGUAGAUAGAUGUUCAGGUUGUAGUAUUCUCCACACAAUCAUUUGAGAAUCUUCUUAUGCUCAUGCAGAGAUUGAUAACGCAUAAUGUGCAUAUUCUCAUCUCACACACAUAGAUCACCUUCUGUGCAGAGCUAAGUCUAUUAAUAUAUCAUCUCGUUCCAUCGCUGCCGCAUCGUAUAUGAGUUUGACAACAUGUCAGGUACUACAGAAGGAAUCUAAAAUGGACAUCAGCGAGAAGAAGUGUGGCAUAUGCAUUAUAUUGGUUUAUGAAAAUAGGUGAUAGAAGAGCCUAUUGUCAUUUUAGCACAGAAAAUACCUCUAGAAACCGAGUCAAUGUUUCUAUAUACUCUGUUUAGUGCAAAUUAACACGGGCUUACUUUUUGUACCAAAGUGGAAAAAAACGCAUGGCUCGGUUACUCGGAGUUUGCAUUCGUAGAAAAGGCAGAACAAAUAAUUUACCGUGGAGCAUAUACAUAAGUGACAACUCUUGCAGACCUUGCCUAUAAUAAAUUAGCAAAAAUACAAAACGAAAUUACUAAGGUGAACGUGGUUCCACAUGCACCUAUGUAAAUAGUAAAUAAAAAAUACUCGAAUUUUUAUUAAAAAAAUCUGAAAUUUUGAGGUAUCAAACUUGGUCGACCCGACCAUACUCAUGUGUGAAGUUCGGUGCAGGAGGGACACCCGGUGUAUUUCUUAGUGAAGAAAAUAUAAUCCAACCAUACUGUUCCUGUCAAACAGUGCUUUUGAAUAAAACUUCCAUCUGUCAUUUUGCCCAAAAUACCACGGAUGUCAUUUCUUCGUGAAACUUCAUACGCGAGUACACAAUCGACCAUGUAUAUUACAGAAAAAGUCUGAUUGUUUUUCUCUUUUUCUAGUUUUUUUGGAUUUACUAUUUAUAAGGGAUGCACGUGGAACCACGUUCCACAAAUCCGCGUCUAAUUACACAAACCUUAAAAAACAGUAGCUUCAAGGAAAUAAUUUGCUAAAAAACAAGUGUAAUUUUCAAGGAAAAUAGGAUUUUUAGGACACCAUUACAGAAGACCAAAACAAAAUUCAUGGUAAAGCACAUACUUUUAGGUCCAUUAGAGAAACAAAAUACCCGUACGUGUUCCUUUUCUUCCAAUAACGUUCGUGUUUUGCAGUGCAUCUAUCUAAAACCACUUUCUUGGCAAGCAAACAAUUCACCAAACACUUUAGAGUGCAUUGCCUAAUGCCUGUAGUCGAUAUCAGAAGUAAAUAAGGAGGUAGAGGAGGAACGAUUGGACCUGCAGCAUGCAGGCCAUGCGCAUCGUGUAUGUCUCGACAAGUUGCUGAACAUUACCUUUCUUGUGAUUCAUACCCAUCCUCCUCUGUUGCCUGCCUCAUCCACCAUGGCGCUGACUACGGCGGCUCCUUCCUUCUCCUCCCCGUCCUCCAAUCUAUCAUGGAAACACCGGAGCUGAUGGACACCGAGAGAAAGAAAGAAGAGGCGGGGGGCUGCGGCGACGCGGGUGACGGAGAGAGGCGCCGUGGAUGAGCUCGUGAGGUGACGGAUAAAUGCAGAGGGGACAGCUGACCGGGAUGAGGUCGUGGGAUGAUCUGGUGUCCGUGACCCGAGGGCCGAGAGUUGCGUCCAACCCUUGGCUUGGCACCAGAUCUAAUAUACAAAUCAACGGCUGGAGAAUAAUUCAAACGGUGAUCGGACGGGCCAGCUUUCGUGAUGGCAUGAGUUUAUCCCGAUUAAACGUGGGUCGAACCUCUUUAAGUUUGACGAGCUUUAUAGAAAAAAAUGUUGAUAUCUUACAACUGAAUUUUGGUCAGGCUCGCUAAGGACAUUUUCAAUGCCAACCCUCAAACCGCGCCCAAACAUCCGGUCCGCAUGGUUCAAUGUGAUGCGUCAUCCAACGCGGUUCUGCAUCGGUCCGCAAGGUGAUAUAGACAUACUUUUUCCCGUAAACCGAGGACAAAUGUGAGGGCUUUGCAGGUGUCUAGACAACAGCCGCGCCCGCUUCUGACCAUCCUGACCCACCCCAAACAUUCUCCCUCGCCCGCGCGAGUCCCAUCCGGCGCUAGCUACCUGCAUUUAUGUCAUCGUAGAACGGCCGCUCCACAUUGAAGUCGGCUCAGAGCAGACACGGACUCUCACUGCCUCCACCAUUGAAGCGACGCGCAAGCUGAGGGCGCCGCCUGCUGCACGUCCGGCUAAAUACGCCUCUUCGCUGCAUUCAAACGUCUCCACUAAACCCGCGCGUGUGCUCGGAAAACUACUCCGGCCAUAUGUCCGUUCACAAGCGGGUCGACGUUAACCAUAACUCCGGAGUAGCUCCUCCCGUGAACCCGCUAUUUAAAGGAGGCCAGACGUCGGGCAAGUAUUGCACCACUUCGUUGCUCCCAUCUUCAUCUUUCACCAAUAUAUCCAUCCUUCUGAUGGCAUCCGACGAGCAGGAAGACCAGUUCUCCAGCAUAAAAGCCAGCUGGGAGACCCACCAAGCUCGUUGGAUACGAGCAAGGCAACUCACUGCUCUACCUCCCUCCCUAGCCUGACGGAGCAAGCUGUCGCUCCAAGCCGGUGCGUGGUUAAGAACCUCGUCGCUCCAAGCCAACUCGCGGAAGAGUGGCGAGUAGCUCCAGGCAACACGCGGGGGAGCACGGCGAAACGGGCAUCAUGGAUACCAUGGAUGAGGCCAGACAUAUGGCCAUCCACCGUCAACGUUGUUGGAACGCAUUGGUCAAUGGAGAAAAACGUGGAGAUCGAUGAGUCGGUGGCCAGCGCGUCCACGCCGCCGCCACUGCCAUCAUUGAGGAGAAGUAGAACGCGGUAGGCCGCCGUCGCUUGGGUCCCAGGAAGGCCACUGCCGGCGCGUCGUCGGCGUGAACAUGACUUGCCCAGUUCAGCGCAGACCAUCAUCGAUCCUCGCCUCGGCUUCACAGAAGCGGAGUAGGCACCCAUCUCCUCCGGACAUAGGGAAGAUACAGGGGAAGAAUAUACCUCCGGGGCUCCCAACAGUCCGAUGAGCGGGUUGCCGGAUAUGGAAAAGACAAAGGGAUCCGUUGUGGCUGGCCGUAGACUAGUGUAGUGUAUCCAUGUCGCUGGAGUGGAGCUCCGCGUACACAUAAUUUUGCCUUUUUAGUUAAAAUGUCCAAAAUGUGAAUGUUUUCAUCCAGUUUGUAUGAAAUCAAUCGUGUUUGCACGAAUUUUAUCUGGUUGGAUCAAAAAGUUAUUGAAAUGUAUGCGAGCAGCGUUCGAUGGCCUCCUCCCGCAUCCGUGUGCGCGCUCUAGUACCCCUGUCCGUGGACGAAUGCAGGAUGCAAUUUGCGGGUCGCUGUUGGAGAUGCCCUAAGCUUUUGAUGCUUUAUCCCUAAAAAACUUUUAACGCUUUAAAAGUUAUCAAAAAAUAUGAAAUAAAUAUAGGAGCAUCACUCUUAAAUUAUGUCUAUCAUAUCUUAUCACCAAACUUGUUGAUGCUAGCUAAGCUUUUAACAGAUCCUCUACUUCCUCCUGUAACCACCAAAAAAAAAAA